rnacentral:lncRNA from 1 species
AGUGCUGGCGCAAGUCGUCUUGCGCCAGGCGACUGGGUCUGAGGAGGCAGGAGUUAUUCAUUCCCUUAAGCUUUCAGGCCGGGGGGAGAAUCUUUCAGAAUACUUCUGUUGGGUUGAAUGACUCUCUGCCCCCAGGAAAGAGAUCUUCAUGUAAACAGAGUCCCUCUUAUUGGCUGAAGUGAAGAGUCAUUCUGAGGAGGAUCUGAAAAUGUAGAGGUGAGACGCUAAUGGCAGAGUGGCCUCAGCUUUCACCAGGUUUUGAAAACAUCUGUGAGGGAGGCACCAAAUUCACUGUCCUGCAGCUUUGACUUCCCAAUCCUCGUUGCCUCGUGCUGCCAGCCUGUAUGCUGGUAGAAGUGUGUUCCUGGGAACAUCCUGGCAUCUUGUGUUAGGACUACACUGGUGCAUGGGACAGAUCACGCUCAAGAAGGUCGAUGUAAUUUGAAAAACAGAUGGGCUCUGCUUUGUGAAAACUCCAAGCAUAUGAAGUCUAACUUGAAUAAAAGGCAUCUCAAGAUGAAGGUUUCCUAUUUGUGAUUAUGAAAAAAAUGUCAAGAACAAGUCCCUUGGUGUUCUUAGACCAAAGUCAGAACAACAGACCUAUUCUUCUCAGGCAGACUAUCUUUCCAGCAGCUCACAUGAUCCCCGAUUCAAGUCAAAUGGAAAAGAAAGCAUCUCCCUCCAGGAAACUCCAGGUAAUCCUGAGAUUGGAUCUGAUUGGCUCUGACUGCAUCAGGUGCUUACCUUUGAACCAAUCACUGUGCUCAGUGAGGUAUAAAUGGCCAGAUUUGGGCCAUAAAGACCACCCAGGAAGCUGGUGUUCUGGUUGGCUGCACCCAGUCGCAAGGAGUAAAACUGGAUGGCAGUCAUUAUUGAGGGAAGAUGUUGGGGUUUUUUUACAGAAAAGGGAGAAUCAACACUGUUCAGAUUGUCACCUACACCAUCUGACUCUUCGUACUUUGAAGAAAAAAAAAAGUGCUAUCUUCUGAGAAAAAAAUAAUAUAUUAGUUCCAUUUAAUUUCAACAAAAAUAUAAGUCAUAAAUGCCUCACUAUUACUGGAUACGCUUAGAUAUAGAAAAGAAGUAAAAACUCUAAGAACCAUAAAAUAAUUGUUUUAUAGGGCAUAAAUCAUUCCAUGUUUUUUUUUGUUUGUUUGUUUGUUUGUUUUUGAGACAGGAUCUUCCUCUGUCACCCAGGCUGGAGUGCAGUGGAACAAUCUCAGCUCACUGCAGCCUUGACCUCCUGGGCUCAAGCGAUCCUCUCACCUCAGCCUUCCAAGUAGCUGGGACUACAGGCUCACACCACCGUACCCGGCUAAAUUUUUUUUGUAUUUUUGGUAGAGAUGGGGUUUUGUUAUGUUGCCCAGGCUUGUCUCCAACUCCUGAGCUCAGGUGAUCUGCCUGCCUCAGCCUCCCAAAGUACUGGGAUUACAGGCAUGAGCCACCACUCCAGGCCAAAUUUUUAUUGUUUUGUAAUAGGAUUAUAGGAUAUGACAGGGAAGCAUACCAUCAAAGAUUCAAAGGACAGAAAAACCACAUCUAAGAGGACAGUAUUUACUUGUUGAAGGACAGGGAAAGCUGGAGUGGGUGGUGAUGGCUGGAGGGGAGGCCCUUUCAGGCAGUUGAUUCAAUGAGUAUGGUUGAGUUUUCAUGUGGCAGAAACUUAAGCAAAAGUGGUCACUUUCAUUUCUUCCCUUACAACAAUAGUGUACUACUUACCACAAUUUUAUUGGCAUACUGCAGGUAAGUGAAAUAUAAUAGCUUAACAUAGCUGUGCACAAACUGUUUCAGUAAAGGGACAGAGAAUACAUAUUUUAAGCCUCAAGAGCCAAGAGGGAAAAUAGAGAAUAUUAAGUGGGCACUUAUGCAACAAGAAAGAAGACAAAUUUUCAUACAUUUUUCAAUGACAAAAUUCAAAAUAUAAUAAUCGAGUUCAAGUUUUUGUAAUACAGGUCUACUAACGAGAAAAAAAAUAGAAUUCUUAAUUUUGAGAAAACCAGGCACAGUGGCAAGGUCCUGUAAUCCCAGCUACUCAGGAGGCUGAGGCAGGAGGAUUGACUGAGGCCAGGAGUUAGAGGCUGUAGUGUGCUAUAAUUGCACCUAUGAAUAGCCAUUGCAUUCCAUCCCAAGCAACAUAAUGAGAGCUCAUCUCUAAAAAAAAAAUUCUUAUUUUGAGAGAGAUAAAUAAUUUUUCUUAAUUGAAGCUCAGUUAGUAUUCUCUAUCAUCAAAUCAAUUGCGAACAUUCACCUAUAAAAACCACCGUUAGCUUGAGGGCCAUAAAAAAUACAGUGGGCUGAAUUUUACCCACAGGCUGUAGUUUGCUGACCUUUGGUUUAAUCAGAAAGGGAAUUUACUGACUUAUAGAGUUAAAAAAAUAGAGGUGAACAGUUUUCAAACAGAGCUAAUUCAGAACUCCAGUUUCAUUUCUUUGAGAUGACCUUUGUUCUGCCCUCCUUCCUAGGAUGGCUUUAUCCUGAGACUGGGUUCCUUCAAGGAUGCCUUAGGAACUAGACUGUAUAUUUCAUAUUCACAUCCAGGAAGGGAGAAAGAGUCACUUCUCUGAGCAAAGGUCCUGAGCUUCACUCUGAUAGGAGCAAAGUUGAGCCAAGCACUGUGCCACGGUGCUAGGACCAAUCAGGGAAGUGACUUGGGUACAGAUUUCAUAGGUGUUAUGCAGUGGAAGGGGCAUAGAGUGGAGGGGGAAGAGAGGGAACAUCCACUGUAAGUAAACUCUGAAGAAUAACACAGAAAAGAGGGAGUGGAUGGGCAAUUUUUACAAAGUGAAUGUGCUCCACCCUUAUCUUGAUGUCUCUGUGGGAGAUCUUGCUACUCUGGAAUACCUGUUAUCAGGCGCAUUUUUCUCAAAACAAAUGGUAGGAAUUGUCAAACACCACCUUAGUGGUAUUUUACAGAGGCCCUGUCCUCAGCACCUGUGGUCUUAUUACUUAUAUUAACUUCCCAUGAACAAGUCUUAACAUUCUCCUGAGUGAUAGUCUGCCAGUCCUGCAACCUCUAGCUCUUAACCAAAAUCCUGUAUUAUCCCCUUAUUCCCUUCCUUCUCAAAAGGGAUCCUUGAGAAGACAUAUUCAAUAUCCUUGACAGAAUGAUUGAGCCAUGAAUCAUUUUACAUCUUUUAGGGUAUAAGCCUUAUUUUCUUCUAUCUAUGCCCAUCCUAGUGCCUUUAUGAAGUGGAAAGCACACGGAGGGGUUCUGCUUUUUCUCGUCUCCAGUAGUUUCUUACAGACCAGUAGCACUGCGUAAGGUAAUUUGGAAGAACUAAAAAAGAAGUAUAAGCAACAAUUCUACAGCUAUCACCAUGAGAAUAUGUAGAACACAGAUCAGCAAACUAUGGCCCUCAGGCCAAAUCCAGCCCACUGUGCUUUUGUAAAUAAAGUUUUAUUGGCACACAGCCACACCCAUCCAUGAUGUAUUGUGUAUGAAUGCUUUCAUGCUGCAAUUGCUGCAAUGGCAGAAUUUGGUAACAGAAACCUGGCAACACAAGUUAGGGCUUAUAUGUUUCUCUUAUCACAAGAAACCUGGAGUUGUGUAUUCCAGGCAUAGUACAAAGGUUUCCUGAUUCCAUCAAGGACCCUGGGUUCUUUUCACCAUCCUUGGUGUAUGGCUUCCGUCUUCAGGCUUUUGGCAACAUGGUGGCUCCACCUCUAGACACUGUGCCUACAUUCCAGGGAGGCAGAUAGGGAAAGGACAGUGAGCAGAAGUUAUGUGUCAGCUGAUUUGGCUCAUUUUUAUAAAAAAAUACUUUUUUAGGGCUUCCCAGAAAUCCCCACCCAGCAGAUUUCCAAUUACAUUUCGUUGGGCAAAACUAUAUCACAUGGCUGAAACUAGCUAUACUGGAGCCUGGGGAACUGAUGUUUUUGGAUUUCCACAUUGUUCUCUUGUUCAUUGUUCAUUGUUUUGUUUUUGUUUUUGUUUUUGUUAUUGUUUUGAGACCGGGUCUUUCUCUGUUGCCCAGGCUGAAGCACAGUGGCAUGAUCAUGGCUCACUGUAGCCUCAAACUCUUGGACUCAAGGAACCCUCUCACCUCAGCCUCCAGAGUAGCUGGGACCACAGGCAUGCACCACCACACUCAGCUAAUUUUUUGGUGUUUUGUAGAGACGAGGUCUCACUAUGUUGCCCAGGCUGGUCUCAAACUCCUGAGCUCAAGUGAUCCUCCUGCCUCAGCCUCCCAAAAUGCUGGGAUUACAGGCAUGAGCCACUGUUCCUGGACCCCACAUUGCUCUUUUAAGUUAGAUGAGAAGGUGAAAAUGGAUAAUAAGUAGGCAACUACAAACAUCUUCCACACCAGGGACUCACAAAUCCAAAUGCCUACAAGGAUGGCAGGAGAUUUAAAUGGGUGCUUUAUGCCACUGGAGACACCAGAAACUGGUAGGAAUUAUGAUGAAGUUGAGAGUACCCACCCUACCUACAAUUAUUCAACUUCAAAAUUUCCUAGAACAAUCAUCUAUGGACCUUGAGCUUUUGACAUCCUCUUUGGAUAAUGCUUCUCACAUGAGCUAGUCAUUUGAAAAGUGUAUUUCAAGGGGUCAGCCAUUGAUUCAUUUAUUCUAUAGCAUUCUACAAAUAUUCAUUUACCACUCACUUUCUUCUGGUGUUCCAGACUGUGGUCUGUGGCUCUCCUUGUGCAGUUAUUAAAUUCAGAAACCACAAAUCAACAUGCAAAUCAAAAUUUGUUUAGGCUAAAUAGGUAAUGUGUUUGCACAUUAUAUAUGACUGUUUUAAAAUGUAGGUGGAGGCCUUUGUGAGUCAUAAAAUAGAAAUUCAUUGAACAAAAGUACCCCUGGUUUCAGAGUAGCUCUCUGUGAUACAUUUUCUCACUCAACAGAUACUCAAAAGCAUAAGCACUAUUGUGAGAAAGUCUUACUAUUUUUUAUAUUAAAAAAUUCUCAUAUGACAAAAAGGUGGAAAAAAAUUUGCUAGGUACUGGGGGCUACGGAAAUGGUGAGAUGAAUAUGUCAGACCCUCAAUUUUUAGAAAACUCACAGCACAGUAGGGAUAAAAAAUAUGAAUUAGGUAGGACUCUUUUGGUUGCAAGUGAUAGAAACUCAAUUUAAACUGACUUAAGGGAAAACAAAGAAUAUACUGAAUUAUUUGUCUAAAGGUUCAGAAUUGGGCUGGGCACAGUAGCUCAAACCUAUAAUCCCAGCACUUUGGGAGGCCAAGGCAGGUGAUCAUGAGGUCAGGAGUUCAAGACCAGCCUGGCCAAGAUGGUGAAACCCCCGUCUCUGCUAAAAAUACAAAAAUUAGCCCAGCUUGGUGGCAGGUGCCUGUAAUCCCAGCUACUCAGGAGGCUGAGACAGGAGAAUUGCUUGAACCCAGGUGGCAGAGGUUGCAGUGAGCCAAAAUCAUGCUACUGCACUCCAGCCUGGGUGACAGAGUGAGACUCUGUCUCGAAAAAAAAAGUUCAGAAUUAAGCACAUUCUUCGCUCAUUCAGGCAUGCUUGGACCUAGAGUCUAAACAGUAUCUUCAAGAUUUAGUCUCGCUCCAUUUCCUGGUUUUUCCUUUCUCAAUGUUGGAUUCAUUUUCAUGCUCUCCCUUUCUCCCCAGUAUAAACAAAAACUGUCCAAGAUUACAGUAUUGUAGCUCCAAACACCUUCUAAUUCUAUUGGGAAGAGAUAUCAACCUUUCCCAUAGCUCCUCUGAAUUAACUCUCAUUAGAUUAAUCUUUCAGGUGAAUCAGUUGCUGUGGCAAGAGGAAUGGGAGAUACUAAUGGGUCAGAUUUUGAAUAUGUGUCUCAUGUAUCUGGGAGGAGUUUAGCACCAAUCAAUCCACAUGGAUUGAUGAUGGAGUCUUUGGGGUUUUUAAGGAGAAAUAGGAAUGUUAUUAUGAGAAGAAGGAGGAAUAAAUGCUGGAAAGGCAAAAAACAACAGACACUCACUAGAAACAAACCAAAAUCAACAUCCCCGAGGAAGAAAAUAAUGAAUGACACCAGACAGACUCGUUUGUUUCAUUCAGUGUUUUCUUCAAUAAACAUUUACCAAAAUUUGUUAUUUUAGUGGAGGUUGUUGAUUGCCAAUAUCUACUCCCACCUUCCAUUCCUUUUUUUAUCUUUUUUUUUUUUUUUUAUCAGAACCAUUGACUUUGUUCAACUAUCCCCCCUUGAAGUGGCUGUGUUUGAGAGAAGGCUGCUCCAUUUCCAAACCCAAGGGCAAGUCUUGACUAUCUAAGCCAAUCCUCUCAGUGCCAUUUCCGUUGCUGUUGAUUUGUUUAAGGCAUAAACGUAAGUAGAAUUUGAGGCAAUGAAAUAUGAAGUCACCAGAAAGCUUCUAGGAAGGCUAUUCUUGCUCUUAAAAAAAAUACAGUUAGGGGUCCUCAAAGGGAGCUAACUUGUAGACCUACUCUACAUGAGAUAAAUGUGGAAAUAGCAUGGGCUCUUGGAUAAUGUUGCUGAGGAAAUUAAUGACUCUAGACAUGACCCUACCUCUAGAUUUCUAGUUGUAUAAGAAAAUUAUUUCUAUAUUUUGAGUUACAUUGGGCUUUUGGGUUAUUUGUAACAAAUGUACUUCCUAUAAAUGACAGGUCCAGGGCCAGGCAUUGAGGAUAAGAAAUCGUAGGAUGUAUGCCCUCUAUUCAUAUGAUGCUUCCAUUUUAAUCAGCUGGAAAUUGUUAUUUUUUCCCACUUUAUUCUACUUCUUUCUCUCUGUGAAGUUAACAAAGUACCCAAGGGGACUGGAUCAAGGAAAACAUGAGGGCAAACUCAAUAUGUUGCUCUCAAAGUGGUCCCUGAUCAAAUGCUCUGGCCUUGCCAAGAGAAUCAGGAGCCCUUGAAGCAAAUAUGUCUUCUUCCCCAGAAACAAAAUUCAAAGUGUGUGGCCCUGCACUUGUGGGUCAGGAAUGCCAUCUUCACAGACAAAGGAAAAUAUAUUCUCCUUUAUUCCCAUUUUUAAAACCCCAAUUACGGGCACAAUGAGGAUCCAUGGAACCCCACGAACACUAAUAAAAAUAAAGCACUUAGCUCAUGCAAUCUUGUCUUUUUAUUUUCAAUAUCACUUACAAUGUAAGCUUUUUACAAAAUCAAAUCCUUUCUCACCAACGAUAUGAUUUUCCCUGAAAAGGCUUUGAAGUAUCCCGCCGUUACUACUUCUGUACACAAACAUUAGCAGAAGCCCUGCUAGGCAGGAGGACAAAAAUAAUUGUUCAGUCUUCAUUUUAAUUUAACCUUUUGUAAAUUCCUACUUUACAAAAGUUCCCCUUGACUUACUGGCAUCAUAUUGAGAAAAUUUAUGAGGUAGUCCAUUCUUGUUAAGACAGCAAAUCUCCAUGAAUCUUUUCCCCCAUGAAAGACUGUCCUGGACCCUUCACCCCUUUUAAUUUAGGCAUCUUGCUCUCUUUCUUUACCAUUUGCAUGGGUCCCUUUGUCACCUUAACAUUAUUGUCUAAUGGUUUCUGUACAAUUAAGGCAUUAUGGAGGUGAACAUUAAUAUGUCUCAGAAAAUUUACGAAGGCCAUAUAUCUUGAUGUUUGCAAAAGGAUGUGCCAGAGAUUGGCUAGGAAUGCCGGUGCUCAGCUCUUCCAGCUGAUGUAAGGAACGGAGUUCAUUAUCUGUCAUAUUGGUAGUAGGACAGAAACAAGACCUUUGGCAGGAAGGUGUGAAAAGGGAAUGAGUAGCCAGCCUGGUGUAAAUCAGGAGGGGAAAUACAGGUUUAAGCUAUUUUAGAUCUGGUUUAAUAGAAGAGUGACUAAAAAGGUGGGAUCAGUAUUCACAUUGCCCUGUGCGAUGAUUAAUAUUGAGUGUCAGCUUAAUUGGGUUGAAGGAUGCAAAGUAUUGUUCCUGGGUGUGUCUGUGAAGGUGUUGCCAAAGGAGAUUAACAUUUGAGUCAGUGGACUGGGAGAGGCAGACCCACCCUCAAUCUGGGUGGGCACCAUCUAAUCAGCUGCCAGCAUGGCUAGGAUAAAAGCAGGCAGAGGAACAUGGAAGGACUAGACUGGCUGAGGCUUCUGACCUCCAUCUUCCUCUUAUGCUGGAUGCUUCCUGCCCUCGACAUCAGACUCCAAGUUCUUCAGCUUUUGGACUCUCAGAUCUACACCAGUGGUUUGCCAGGCACUCUCAGGCCUUUGGCCACAGAUUGAAGGCUGUACUGUCAGCUUCACUACUUUGGAGGUUUUGGGACUUGGACUGGCUUCCUGGCUCCUCUGCUUGCAGGCAGCCUAUUGUGGGACUUGACCUUGUGAUUGUGUGAGUCAAUAUUCCCUAACAUGCUCCCUUUUAUAUGUACAGCUGUCCUAUUAGUCCUGUCCUUUUAGAGAACCCUGACUAAUACACACCAUUUUUAGAUUCUCACUCAUACCCGCUAGCCACCUGCCAUUGUUUUAUAGCCUCUCUCUUCUUCAGUUUCUUCAUUUGUAAGGUGGAGGUACAUUUAGAACACAACCUUAAGUCCAUACCAUGGCCUACCAGGUUCCCGCGAUCUGGUCCCACCUUGGUCUCAGGCCUCCAGUGCCUUCCUGGCUUUCCUGGAACCCUGGGCUUCCACCACGUUGGUCUCCUUUCCAACUCCGCAGUGUAACGACAGCUGCUUCCCACCUCAAGGCCUUUGGCCCUGACAUUACUUCCUCUUCCAUGAAAUACUUCUCCCCAGAUGCUCAAGGGUGGGCUCCUUCUCUUCAUUUAUGAACCAGGUUAAAUUGGACUUUCUCACAUCGUUUCCCAGAGGCAGACUUGAGUAGUUUAUUUAGAAGGUGAUCCCGGGAAUCAGAGGAAUAGAGAAGGAAGGAGAGUUAAGUCAAGGUGAUAUUGAUGAGAAAUUGAUCACUGCAGACAACUGGAACUCAAUUCUGCAGGGAGUUUCUGGGAGACAGUGUGAAACCUCCUCCGAGUUGUGCUAUAAGGGGCUGGGAAGCCGUGAUGGUUUUCCACCAAUUCCCGUCCUCUGCAUGUGGAGGGGCACUCCUGGAGGGGCUCAUUAUUUGGCACUUCCAGCCUCUGCUCGUACAGAUUGAGCGUGAAUCUCGCUGCAUUACAGAAGGCUCUAUGGCAGAGAGAUGCAGGUGCUAGGGGUAGGAAGCUCUCGAAGCGCAAGGGAACUGCCCAGCAGGGUGCCACUUGGGCGCCAUGGGUGUGACAAGGGAAUAUGUGCGGGGAGCUGACUGUCCUCUGGAGUCCUCCAUUGAUCUCUGUUCCUUCAUCCCGUCCAUGGCCUUGAAAGCACUUACUACAAUUGUGAAUCAUACCCUUCUUGGUUUGUGUAUUUUUUUAAAUUUAUUUUGUUGUUGCUGUUUUUGUUUGUUUGUUUUUUGAGACAGGGUCUCACUCUGUUCCCCAGGCUGGAGUGCAAUGGUGCAAUCAUAGGUCACUGCAGCCUCAACCUCCUGGGCUCAGGUGAUCCUCCCACAUCAGCCUCCCAAGUAGCUAGGACUACAGGUAUACCCCACUAUACCUGGCUGAUUUUUUAUAUUUUUUGUAGAGACAAGGUCUCGUUAUGUUGUGCAGGCUGGUCUGGGACUCCCAGGCUCAAGCAAUUCUUCUGCCUCAGCCUCCCAAAGUGCUGGGAUUACAGGCAUGAGCCACUAUGUAUUUGUGUAUUUGCUAAAUUAAUACGUACCUAUUUGAAGGGUCUCAGGGAACAGAGCGAUGUUUGAAUGUUCUUGAGUGUUUCUUUGAGUGUUCUUGAGUGUUUCUUUAGUGAUCAGCAAAAAGGUGAUAAUCAAAGUAUUUAAGCACCUGAAGGGCAGGGUUGUCGAUCAUCCAAAAGUUCACCCAUCCUGCUUUGUGGUAAGUUUCUGGAAGUAAAAUUGCUGUGUCUAAGAUACAAUGCUUUUAAAGCAGGGCAUGCCUUUGUUAGUUACAUUUUCGAGAAUCUUCAUAAACCCAAACAGUACAGGUUUAAAGUGCAGGCAUGGCAUCAAAUUAAAUUCUGAGGAUCUCAAAUAUGAGGGCCUUGGUAAUGAACAUGAAAAAUCCUUUUUUUUUUUGAAGCUGCAUAAGCAAGAUGAUUUUGAAAGUUUAAAAACGAGUGUGUGUAUGUGUUUUGUGUUCCACUAAAAGCCCAUUUAAAACCUACUUGAGUGCUUUUUCAUUUAGUUUAUAAGUAUUCAGAACAUCAGAAUAAAGCCUCAGGUUUAGGGAAGCCUCUACCCUCUCCAGCUAGGCUGCAUGACUAAAAAAAAUCAAAAAAGGAAAAUUUUACUUUGACAAAUAUAAUACCUACAUUGGGAAUAUGCAGACAAGUUUUUCCCUAAAAGGUUAACUAGAGACAAUAAUUACUUUCUCCAGAGAUCACCAAAGUGACAUGCUGCUGUCUUGAUUUCAUUGCUGUUUUGUGAUGUGCGUUUCUUGCCACUUAUAAAUGAAACAAAUGAGGUUAGAUGGCAAAGAUUAUGAAAGGAAUUAGCAAUAAUGAGCCUGGGAACAAAAAAACAUUAUUAUAGAAAAUUGAGUUGACCUCACUUUCAUAAUUAUUCACUUUAAUUUUUUUUUGUAGUGUAAUUUGAAUGAAAUUAAAUAAUACUAAUAUUCCUCCUGCCACUGACAAGGAAUUUCAUGUAAAGAUUAAUAACUUUUAAAACUAAAGAUUUGGCUGCCAUCUUAGAGGUCACUGUUGCUAUUCCAGGGAGCUUUCUGUCCUCUACAUGAUCCUGAACCGCCUAUGCCAAAACCACAAUUUUCUCCUCAAAGAUCUAAGGUCACGUGACUCUGUGGCACAGGAAUUGCAUCUCCCUCCAACCUCCGUGAGAUUCAUUUCUCUCCUGAGAUUCACUUCUCUUACUUUUCCCAAUUUCUCCAUGAGAAUGUUCUCAGUAAAUCAUGCUAAUGUGUGAUGGAAGCAGACAUUUUCAGUUAAUUGGGUGGGCAUAAUUUGAAUUUGAAAUAUAUAAAUUUUUCAUAGGGCACUCCUUGAAGACAUCACACUCAUUAAGUUGGGGUUUGAAGGUGAGGUGAGUCAAUAUAGAACUUUCUACUUGUUUGUAAUUUUGGCCAAUAGUAACCUGAAGAUGCACUGAACAUGUAUCAUGUAAUAGACACUGAGUCAAGUAGUUCACGUGUGUCAUCUAAUUUAAUUCUCUCUGUGGCCCUAUAAGUACUGUUGUCUUCGUUGUUCUGCAGAUACUGCAACUGCAACUCAAAUACAUUGCAGAGGUCAAAGAAGGGCUGACUCAAGAUUUGAACUCUUACACCUACCCCCAAACCUGAGCUCUUAGCCAACAAGAUGGAAUCAAAGCAAGCCAAUCAAUAGAAAUAUUGGUGUUGACAUCCGAUAGUCUGUGAUCCAUCUCUGCUCACUCACUUAAUAUCUUUGCAUGUAACUCUCUCAUUUCGAGUUUACACUUAGAAAACUGAAAUAAUAACAACACCAAACUUACUGAGUUGCAGUGACUAUUAAAUGGGGAACAUAGUGAAGUACCUUGAACACUGAUGAAUUACAGUGAUGCUCAAUAAAUGUUGACUUUUCUCCAUUACUUAUGGACACUUUUCUUUCUAAGGCUUGGAAAGCAUUUAGCACAGUGUGUGGCACAGGGAUACCAGUCAGUAAUAAUAUUAGCUAACCGUUUACUGGUACCUACAAUGUGCUUGGCUCCACAUUGCAUGCUCUGCAGGUGGCAUCUCUCUAAUCCUCAGCAGUGUCCUGUGCUGACGGUGCCAUGUCUGCCCUCAUUUUGGAGAGAGUAGCUGGGUGGUUUCCAUCUGGUAAGCAAUGGAGUUGGAGUUCAAGCUCAGAAUCCAAGCUCUGAGUCAGCGAUUUUGCCAGCUGCUGUGGCUCAUCGUGUUGUCAUUAAAUUCGAUGAGUCUACCAUUGGCUUGUAAAUGUCUUUCCAUUUCAUCACACCUGGAAUGAUCACUCUCUCUUUCGAACUUCAAUGGCUUUUACUGUCUAUCUAAAUCAGUAGGUAAUAAAUCAUGGCCUCUAGUUCAUUAUGGCCUCCCAUGCUUUCCUGAAGUGUUUAAAUCACUAUUGCCUUUGUUUGUUCAUUAAUUUGGUCACCCAGUCACUCAGCAAACAUAAUUGUGUGUCUGUUAUAUUCCAGGCACUGUGGGAGAUUCUGAGGGUACAGAGGAGAACUGAAGAGACUUGGUAUUCACUAAGGGAAAAGCCAAACUUCAAGGCGACUUAAACCUUUAUUUGGGGGGUCCUCUUUAGGAAAAGAACAUUAAAUUACAUACACACAGUUAGAUUCAGGGCCAGGGAGGAGGUCUUGCAAGUGAGGGGUUCUGAAACAUAAGCUUCAUUAGCUUCGUGGUAAAUCCACUACAGGUUUCCACUGUUACGGAUCUUAGAAUUCUAGAUUCUGCUGUAACCUCGAUAUAACAGGGAGGUCCUGCAGCCCUGAUCACUAUCCACAGAUUAAGUCAAAACAAAACAGAGCAUAAAUGUGACUACAAACCAUGAGGGAUUAUGAAAAUCCUUACUGCAGAUUUCCCCGAGGGAGCUAAUCUAGCAGCCAAAAUGACACGGUGUGCCAUACCCAAAGAUUCCUAAAAGUCAUUUUCCCUAAAACGUCGCUAUCUCUCACCCUGAACCUCCCAUUACCCUCACCAUCCUGCUGCUCUGUUUUCCACUCUGUCCCCGGCCUAACACUCUUUAAACCCUGGAAACCCUACCCCUGACUACGUGCGCACCCUAAACUGGUGUGGGCUAGUUUCUACUAUGAAUGUUUUUGUAGACACUGCUAGAAUUCACUACAACCUCCUUCACACAGACAUGCAGAAUUCUGGAGAAUUAAUUCUCCACUGAUCACCCCCCGUUUAAAAUUUUUCAGUUUUAUGUAUCAUUUCCCAAACUAAAGCAUAAGAGAUUUGAUGGCAGAGACUAAUUUAUAAUUUUUCAAUUUUCAGCCCAAUUGGGACCCCUCCCAGGCCAAAUAUUUUGAAAUUGAGGUAGUAAUUUUAAAAUAACAAUUAUAAUGAGGAACAACUGGCAAUUCUAUUUUAAAAAAAUUAUUAGCCAGGCUCAAAAUUUCAUCCUCAGUUUGGUCAUGAAGUUCAGGCUUGGAGCAAAACGAGAUUAAAAAUAAAUAGCAGAUGGGAGAAAAUUAUAUGACUGUUAAUCUAAAUGUUUAGCAUGUUGGACCCAAGCAGUGAUUCUCAACCCAGAGGACACAUGGCAAUGUCUGGACACAUUUUUGGUCAUCAAAACUAGGGAAGGAGGGUGCUACUGGCACUAGUGGGUUGAGGUCAGCGUUGCUGCUAAGCAUCCUACAGUGCUCAGGGAAGGCCCACGACAGAGAGUUAGCUGGCCCCAAACAUCAAUCAUGUUGAAGUUUUUAGAUCCUGAACCAGAGAACUCACAGAAACAAGCCUUACACCAAGUAACUAAUUAGCCAGUUACAUAAACAACUCAUCAGUUAACUAACCAACUAAUUAAUGAUAUGGAUCUCUUUUGACUGAAUUGACUCAAGUUUUCUCCCAAUUAAUAACUAGUCAAUUGAUGAGUAAAAUAACCACAUUUUAUAAAGUUGGCCUCUUUGUUUAGUUUGUUUAUGCAUGAAGCGUGCAUGACUGUGUGUGUAUGUGUGCAUGUGCACAGUGAUAGUGUAUGGCAAAGUAAUCACUUCUUUUCCUUAUCCUGAAAUGUCCUGCAUGUUUAUAUAUCAGGCAUAAGGUUGGACUGACUGUAAAUGGAUGAUCUGGCUUAAUCUCACUACAACACUGUAAGUGGGAUUAACCCCACUCAAAGAUGAUAACCUGUGGUUUAAAGAUCAGUAACUUGUCAAAGAUAACAUGAGCCCUGGUAGGUGAGAGAGACAUAUCUCAGUCUAGGCUGUCUCAGCCCCAAAGCCCAUCCUCUUAGCUAGGAUCUCUGAACUAUCACUUAUUCCACACCCUCUUCAAUGAUUUUUGCAUAUCCAUGAGAUACCUGCAUUAUUAUUUUUCUGAUUUUUAAAAAUUUAAAUAAAUUUAACCUUACUCUCAACAGUAACGGCCUGGAAUCAUGGGUUCAGCACCCUAGCAUACUUUAUAUUUCUAAUAAAUUUUGAGGAAUCACUGCUUUAACACCACAAUGUUAAGCCACCCCUCGCCUAUUUCAAAAUGGGUUUUUAAUGAUCAAGCACUAUAUAAGUGGAAAUUAUUGUAAUAAUUGAUUAGUUAAUCCACGUGAGGGCCACAAAGUACUCUCUAGAAGAAGUUCUGAGUGGCCAAAUUAAGGUAAGAUCAGCAAAAUAAAGAGUGCUGAUAAAGAAAAAGGAUUAAAGGAAAAUGCUUCUAAGGAGCUCCUGUGAUUAAAUGCAAUCGAAGGAGAACUCAUGGGUUAACUCAUUUCUGCCGAGCGCAGUUACAUAGUGCUCAGUUUGAUAAAGGACCCUGCAGUAGCUUUCAAAUGGAGAAAUGGGAAUUAGUGGCAUUCCCUCUCCAAUUACUAAUUUUACAGAAAUGCAAACAGCUCAGCAAAGGGAACACAUUGUCCGUUCCAAGGCUUUCCGUGAACAAAUACAUUUGAUAUUUGAGACAGCACCCUGUAUGAAAUAGGCCCUGAUUUUCAAUAUACCCUUGAAUUCUUUUAUCUUGUUGUCAAUAGGUUUAAUAAUUGAUUGUGGGGAAAACACAAUAGGGUAAGAAAAAUACCAGGGUUAUCUCAAGAGUUCUGGAGGAAUGAUUUGUGUCAAAUUAGGUGGGUAGUUUUUUAUUUUUAUUUUUUAUUUUUCCAAUUAUAUACAGUGCCAUUCACAAGCUAAAUUCUCACUGAUUUAACCUCUUUCUUCUCUGUUCCAUUUAGCUGGAAUAAACCCCUGUGGCCAAUCUUCUAUGAAUGAAAUUGUCCAUCUUUCCUAGGAAUGAGUCAAUCUGUGUAUUUGUGAAUUUCAAAUAUAAGUGUGACUACUAUGGUAGAAGGAAAUAGCUGUCAGAAUAAAGAGAAAAGGAGAUGGAUUUUCCACCUUGUCAUGAUUAACACACUUUCUCAGUCGUUCUUGGCCAGCAUUUGCAAAUAGUGACUGUUGUGGCUAAUUGGAGUAUUCCUUGCAGUUUUCUCAUGUCAGCUUAUACGAGCCAACAUAAAGAAAUACCUUUGUGGACUAGAUGCAGUCAUCUCACGCUUUACAGUCUCCAUCGUUUUGAUCCCCCCAAUAGCCCUGUGAAGUAGGAAAGAGGUGUGUCUUGGAUUCCCACAGUGUCUUGGAUAGCUUUGUUAUGGUACCUACUGCAUUAUACCGAAAUUUAGUAUUUAUUGUGUGCUUUCCCAACAGCACUGUGACCUUUUGCAAAGUGACCUUCCUUAGGGCUUUAAACAUAGUAGGCAUUCGAUAAACCUUCACUAAGUAAAUGUGUUGUUCUCUCUCUGAACUGUGUUUCUAGAGCAGUGGUUUUCAACAGCGGUGGUGUUGUCCUCAGGGGAUAUCUGGCAAUGUCUGAAGACCUUUGGCUGAGGUGGGGGUGGGGUACUGGUGGCAUCCAGUGGGUGGAGGCCAGGGAUGUUGCUAAACAUCCUACAGUACACAAGACAGUCCUUCAUGCAAAGAAUUAUCCCACCCCAAAUCCAAAUGUCAAUAGCGCCGAAAGAGAAAGCCUGCUUUAGAGGUAUCUAAUACACACCCAAAAUGGGAGAUGAAUUUCCUGUGACACUCAUAAAACAUUAGGGUCUCACCCACUGGCAUCAGCCCUUCUAAAGCUCUGGGAGGGGCCAUAUGAUUUUGCCCAAUUUGCAAAUGUAGGUGGCUACAGGAAGCUUUUGGACAUGUCUAAGGGGAUGCCCUAGAAUUUAUUUGGUUUGUCUCAUGUGGAACACACAUAUGGGGUUUUAGGUGACUUUGCGUACAGUAAAGUUACUGCUCACUUUACUGGUGUAGGAAUGACUUCCAGAAUAUUCUUAAUGCUCACUUUGCCAUCUCUCCCAGCGGAUGGUGAUACAAAGGUGAAGGCCAGAGGCUCUGUAGGGCUACGUGUGUUUUCUAGGCACUUAACACUCAAUGUAAGUGGGUAGUGGAGGAGACACAAAGUUAAAAAUAUAGGGAGCCAGGCUGGGCACAGUGGCUCACACCUGUAAUCCCAGCACUUUGGGAAGACUGAGGUGGGUGGAUCACCUGAGGUCAGGAGUUCGAGACCAGCCUGGCCAAUAUGGUGAAACCCUAUCUCUACAUACAAAAAUUAGCUGGGCGUGGUGGUGGGCACCUGUAAUCCAAGCUACUCGGGAGGCUGGUGCAGGUGAAUCGCUUGAACCCAGAAGGGGGAGGUUGCAGUGAGCUGAGAUCAUGCCACUGCACUCCAGCCUGGGCAACAGAGGGAGACUCAGUUUCAAAAUAAAUAAAUAAAUAAAUAAUAAAUAAACUAUAUGGAGCCAGAAGCUAGUUUGCGGGAAGUUUUUCCAUUCACCAAAUGUGUAAACUGAAGUGACGGAUGGAUUUCCCAUUGAUGCCAUGGCAAAAUAGAAUUUCUUUCCUGUGAGAACACAUGGACACAUGCAAGGGAACAGCAGACACCGGGGCCUACCAGAGCGUGAAGAGUGGGAGGAGGGAGAGGAUCGGGAAAAAUAACUAAUGGGUACGAGGCGUAAUGCCUGAGUAAUGAAAUCAUCUGUACAAUAAACCCCUGUGACAUGAGUUUACCUACAUAACAAAGCUGCACAUGUACCCCUGAACUUAAAAGUAAAAAAAAAAGAUUUCUUUCCUGUCUGAAAUACAGUUGAUAAUACAGUGUAUACAAUUAUGAAAGCACCACAUAUUUUUCUGUUUUUUAAAAAAUAAGCCGAAGAAAAUGUGCCAGAAUUCCUGAAUCGUAGGGCAUGAACCUGUGGCAGCAGUGGGAAGGCAAGUACAUCUGUCUAUGAAGUUACAUGUUCUACGUAUACCAAUUAUCAAUAAUAUGAAACCAAUUUUAAUUAACCAUGUUAGAGGAAGGUCUGAAUUUCUUUACUAUUUCUUAUGAAAAAUAUACAAAAAGUAUCAUAAGAAAAGAUUAUCAAAUUUUAGCUGACGUAAAAUGUGGAAAAGAGAUCUAUUAUGGAGUUAUAUCAGGCAGUUAACUAAUACAAACUGUUGUGUUUUUUUUUUUGAAUCUUGUGAUGCUAGUGGUAUUUUCAGUUUUUAGUACUUGCAAUUUGUUAAGAUUUUAUUUUAACUCUAAAUACAUGUACACUUCUGUACUGAAUUUUAUAUUCUUGUGUUAUUGUGCUUAAUUAGAGGUUCCAAAUUGUAUAAGCUCCAGGAGCUGCAGACGGGUAUCCUCUGGAUGACUCACACACUUUGAUCACCAGAGUAGACCUUUCCUGCAAGCUCCUUUGAGUGUUAGACUCAUAUUAAAUCACCUUGACAUCAGCUCUGGGAUACCUCAGAGACAUCUCCAAACUCAGUAUGUCCAAAGUCAGUCUUAUCAUAAACUCCCCCUGCCUCAUCCAGGAGAUAAUAAAGUUUAAAAAAGGUUGUAAGUGUGGGUCUCUAAUCUGAUAGGGCUGGUGCCAAUGUAAGAAGAGAUAGAGGCCGGGCGCGGUGGCUCACGCCUGUAAUCCCAGUACUUUGGGAGGCCGAGGUGGGCAGAUCACGAAGUCAGGAGAUCGAGACCAUCCUGGCUAACACAGUGAAACCCCAUCUCUACUAAAAAUACAAAAAAAAUUAGCCGGGUGUGGUGGCGGGCGCCUGUAGUCCCAGCUACUCGGGAGACUGAGGCAGGAGAAUGGCGUGAACCCGGGAGGCGGAGCUUGCAGUGAGUCGAGAUCACGCCACUGCACUCCAGCCUGGGGACAGAGAUAGAGACACCAAAGAUCCCUCUCUCUCUCUCUCUCUACCCUGUGAAGACAGAGCAAGAAGGUGACCAUCUGGAAGGGAACCCUCACCCGAAACAGACUUCUUUUGGAGCCUUGAUCUUCAGCUUUCCAGCCUUCAGAAAAUACAUUUCUGUUGUGUAACCUUCACAGUGAUGGUUAUUUUUUUUUAUGGCUGCCUGAGAAGACUAAGGAGGUUGACCCAAAGAUACCAGAUCCUAAUAUAUGGGACCCAUAGAUGUUAUCUUAUUUGGAAAAAGAGUCUUUGCAGAUGUGAUUAAGAAUCAUGAGAUGGGGAGAUAACCCUGGAUUACCCAGGUGUGCCCUAAAUGCCAUCGCAAGUGUCUUUAUGAGAGAGUGAUAGAGGGAAUUUCACACACACACACACACACACACACACACACACACACGAGAAGGCAAUGUGAAGAUGGAGGCAGAGAUUUGUUAUCUGGUCACAAACUCUGGAACUGCAGCAGGUAGGGAAUAUAUGCUUACUUGAGACCUCUGGAGGGAGUGUGACCCUGCCAACACCUUCAGGUCAGCCUUUUCCUCCAGAACUAUGGGAGAAUAAAUUUAUUUCAGUUUAAGACACGAAGUGUGUGGGAAAUUGUUACAGCAGCCACGGGCGACAAAUACAGAAAGAAUUCGUAUCUUUUUCAUUGCAUGUAUUUCUCUGUGAUUCUUCUCACUCUUGCGAUGGUAAGAAAUUAAUGGUCUAGAUUAGGAUUGGCUAUUGAGGAAAGGGAUUGAGAGAAGCUGUGGACUUAUCUUCCUAUGGGGUUUUGGGUCUAAACUCUUGAAUAAAGAGUACAUUUGCUUAGAGAAUUCUGAUGCUGGUAAUCACUACUUGAGAACCUAAUAAAAUUUAGGGUAGGUGGAUUCAGGGCCCUGGGUAUCUUUAAUGUCUCCCAUAUCAAUAAGAUCUCCUGCAUAUAGAGAGUCAGUUAUUGAACAAUUCCAAAUUUUAGGAUCAUAGGUGACAAAUCAGAUAGAAUGUUCAGUCUUCAUUACGGUGAGUGGGGUUGGGGAAGUGAUGUUUGGGUGGAGAACCAAAUAAGAUGAGAAAGCAAACUUAGAGGAAGUGAGUUUCAGGCAGAGGAGACUGUAGCCACAAAGGCCCUGAGUCUGGAACUAUUUUGGCUUAUUUAAGGAAUAUCAAGAAGUCCAAAAUAGUUGCAGUUCAAUGAUGAUGUUAUAUUAUUUGGUGCAGGUAGGUUUAUGAUUAUAGUGUCUUCUUUGGAAAAUAUGUCUUUUACUAUUACAUUAUAUUCCUCCUUAUUCUUUUAUUUAAUUCUAAAUUCUAUCUUGUUUGAUGUUAACAUUGAUUUCCUGUGUUGUAUAUCUUUGCCCAUAUCUUUAUUUCCCAAUUUUUGCAAAAAAUUAGUUUGUUAAAAUUGUGUUUUUUGGUAAAUAACAGAAUAACAAAUAUCUAAGGUAAAUUAUGUUUCAUUUCUCCUAUUUGAGAGGUGUAAUAAUGUGAAUUUUAUUUAGAAAUAUUUUCAUCAAAAUUUCUAAUGUGGACAUGCCUUGGUGCUAAGCAGACACUUCCAUUAUCUGAACAUAACUUGCAUAUACAAAAUAACUCAUUUCCGAUGAGUUUCAGUAAUUGAGGUAUUAUUGCACAUGUCAUUCAACAUCUUGAAAUUUUAGUAUCUCUACAUGCAUGAGCUUUUAAAAAUAAAGUCAUGGCUCUAUUGGGCCACAAAGAAUACACUUAAAAUUUACAAUGUCAGCAAAAAUUACUAAUUUAUUUAUUUAUUUUUUUGAGAUGGAGUCUCGCUCUGUUGCCCAGGCUGGAGUGCAAAAAAUUACUAAUUUAUUUAACUAAUAACAAUGUUGUUUUUUAUUUAUGCCUAUAGUCACACCAUCAGUAUGGCAUAUGUUUGAAUUGUUCCAAUAGUGCAGAUGGAGUUACUGUGAUUUAGCAAGACUUUCUCAACUGCACUUAUGACCAAUAUGAUGCUCUUGGGAGGGGCCCAGAUGUGGUCUAGAUGGUCUGUGUCUGUAGGAAGGAAGUAUCAAGUUUCAGCCCAUAAGGGAAUUGAACCCCUGACCGUGGCCUUAUUAGCACCAUGUUCUAGCCAACUGUGCUUGCUAAUUGGUCACACAUGGCAAAAAUUUUGGAGAGAAGGAAAAGAUGUCAGAACACAGGAUCCUUGGUUUUAACAUGUUUGUUUCGGUCUGAUAAAAAAAAUCCUUAGAUUUGGGGUCAGAUCUAGCUUGGUUUGAGUAUCAGCUCCCUCUCCUUGGUUUUCUCUUUGAACAAUGAGGAUAAUGAGGCCAAUUUUGGAAGAUUUUUUUUUAAAUGUCGGCGUAAGUAAAAUAAUUUACGUGGGAAUACCUAGCAUAUAAUGCAGCACAAAGUAGUUAUUCAAUACAUAUUCUUUUAUAGUUUGGUUUAAAUCAUUUCGAGGUAAACUGAUGAUGCAGAAAAUCACAACACUUCUCCCUCACUUAGAUUAUACCCCCUCUCUUUCCACCUUCUGUCACCUUCAGUGAUACAACUAACAUGCUAAGGCACCAUUCAGUUGCAAAGUGGUUAUAUUUAUGCAAUAAAAAUAAAUGCAAGGCAGAGGAGAGCCACAUUACUCAAGAGUUUUUAGUCUGUUUCGUCCUGGCUUGAGCACACUGAGAUGAGGUGAAUUCAGCACUCCAACCCUCCCAGGCAGGGGAAGCCUCGAGAGAAGGCAGCAGAGGAUCCAAGAGAGCAAGUCUUCAAGACUGACCACUGGGUUUUAAGUCCUCACUCUGUAGCUGUGCAGCCUUGGGGCAAGCAUGUAACCUCUCAAACCCUUGGUUUUCUCAUCUGUAAAAUGGGGAUCGUUACCGUUACUACCCCAGAAGAUUUUGUGAGAUGAAGUGAGAUAAGACCGGUGAGUAAUUUAACCAGACAUAUGGGAAGUGUUCAAAAGUGCUCAGGGGAAGGUCAUGUGUCUCAUCUGCAUACCAUGCACUUUAUGACCAGGGCUGCCUUUUUUAACUUCUCUGAGUCUCUCUCUCUCUCUCUCUCUCUCUCUCUCUCUCUCUCUCUCUCUCUCUCUGUCUGUCUCUGUCUCUGUGUGUGUGUGUGUGUGUGUGUGUGUGUGUGUGUGUGUGUGUGUGUGUUUUAUAAGCCUGCCCCAACAAGCCUAUUUACUCAGAAUGUAAAACAAAUUUACUGUAGUAUAUCGACUAAAUACACAUCGGGUAUCAAUUUUAUUUGUUGCAGGAAUGAGUAUACUGUGUGAGUCUCUUAAAAGGUUGAUACUCUGGUUUCAGCCUAACCUCAGCCUUGAUCUGAAUCCAAGGUUUCUAAGCCUCUCUUUCUUAUCCCCUGGCUCUACCCUUUAAUUCCGCAUCAAAUCGUUCUCUUCGGCAGUCUUACCCCGAAUCAGCGGUGUUGACCUCACAUGGAAUCACAGAACCAUUCCCCUCAUUUCCUCUCCCUGUUUUUCGUAUUCAACCUCUGUUGACCCUUCCCAGGUGUUACUCAUGUGAUGUAUUCUGUAGGCUAAGUCAUUUCCCCGCGCUGAGUUUCCCAUUUAUUUCUUCCACUGCCAAAAUGUCUUUUUCCCUCUGUAUCCUUCACAACCCCUGUGUUGCACAUCUAUCACCUUUAUAUGUGUCCUGAGCCUUGCGAUUCUCCAUCUGCACUCCUGAUCACUUUCUCUUCCUCACUCUGAGCCCUUCAUUCUCCGUGUUGAGUAAACAUUCUUGGCCUCAAGGAGCUUUCAUCGGCAAUGCUAAUAUUUUAAAUAUUAUGAUUACUUUUCUCUCUGCCAUAAAAAUCUCCCAAAACAUCCAUAUGAUCAGUGUAGAACACUGAUUCUCAGUCAGGGAGGGGUGAUUUUGCCCACUAAGAGACAUUUAUAGUUGUCACAACUGGUGGGGGUCCUUCUGUCUUCUGGUGGGGAGAGACCAGGGAUGCUGCGGAACAAUACUCCAAAGCCCAGUACAGCCCCACAACAAAGGAAUAUUCAAAUGCCAAUAAUGCUAAGGUUGAAAAACUCUGGUAUAGAUUAGAAAGUGUAUUUAUCUUAAAAAGCUAAAAUAGAACUAAGACACAAUGCAAGCAUAAGGAUAGUUAAUAAUAAAACAAUAAUAACUCAAAUGUAUUUGGCAUUUGUCAUGUAGCAGGCACCGUGCCAACAGUUUUCCCUUCUUUGCCUUAUUUGAUCCUCAUGAUUACCCUAUAAGGUAGGAACUAUUAUGAUCCCCCUUGCAAAUGAUAAAACUGUGGCCCAAAUAAGUUAAAUUAUGUAACUAAGGUCACACAGCUGAUUAAGGACUAAGCUGAGAUCCAAUCCCAGGCAGCCAAAUGGGAAGGGCUUCUUUAUUUUGAACUGCUGUGAUGAGCACUGAUACAUCUAGAAACAGAUGUGCCAUAUACUGCAGAGCGAGGAUCCUCUAACUGAGGUCUCUUGGAUAGGAUUCCGGAGGUCUUUGAGCCCCCUGGAAAUAAAUGCAGUAUUUCCAUCAAUGUGCAUUUUUUUUUUUUUCUGGGAAGGGGGAUGUGGUUCAAACAGUCAAAUUAUCUCAGAAAGAUUUGCAACCAGAAAUACACUGGGAAUCCAUGAACAGCUUGCUCUUGACUUUCAGGAAAGGAGAAGUUUUGUGCCCUGGAUUAGGCUGCCUUUCUGCAAAGGUGGGCUCAAAAAUUCUGACCAGACUAUGGACCAUCCUUGAUUAAACUUGAUAAAUCAUUUGGCAACCUUGAAUUUCCAAGGACUGUUAAAGGGCACAAAGCAAAUUUAAUAAAAAUCUUAAGAAAUGGGGUGACCUUAGGUGAUCUAUUUAUAUAAGAUUAGGAAAUAUAAUGGCUUCAGGUACUAACGGUUUCACAGUAUUGACCUAUCCAUGUCACAGGACUCUUUGCCUGGGUGUUGCUGAUAUUUUCCUCUGUGAUUCUCACUGUCCCUGAAUUCGUGGCUCACCUAGUCCCCUACAAAUUUACGUAUUUGCUUAUCUGUGUUAAUACCUUCAAUCUGGUUACCUCCAGCUUUGAUGGUUUAGGAAUCACAUUGAUGCUUCUUUACAUAUCGUAAUUGAUUACAUCUAGCAUCUAGGACAUUUUUUUAACACCCAUCUUAUGUGUAUCAACUUUGGUAAACAUUCCCUUUGGUUGCAGUCAUUUGUUGACUCUAUUUUCCUUAUUGAUAAUCUUUUCAGCUGCAAAUGAUGAUAUAUCUAUUUCCUUUCAAAUCCUUAGCCCUCUAAUUAGCUUUUCUUUUUUUGAUGUAUUGGCUGGGACCUUCAGAACAGUGUUGUAAAGUAACAGUGAUGUGCAUGCUUGUUUUAUUGUUAGCUUUGACAGCAAAUCUUCUAAAUUUUCACAAUUGCUACAAACUGAAUAUUUAUGUCUCUCCAAAGUUCCUAUGUUGAAAUCCUAACCCCCAAGGUGAUGGUAUUAGGAGGUGGAGACUUGGUAGGUGAUUAGGUCAUGAGAGCAGAGCUUUCCUGAAUGAGAACAGUGCCUUUAAAAAAGAGAUCCAGGCUGGGCAUGGUGGCUCAUGCCUGUAAUCCCAGUACUUUGGGAGGCUGAGGUGGGCAGAUCACUUGAGCCCAGCAGUUUGAGACCAGCCUGGCUAACAGGGUGAAGCCCCAUUUCUACCAAAAAAAAAAAAAAAAAUUAGCCACUUGUGGUGGUGUGUGCCUGUGGUCGCAGCUACUAGAGAGGCUGAGGUGGGAGAAUUGCUUGAACCCGGGAGGUGGAGGCUGCAGUGAGCUGAAGUUGCACCACUGCACUUCAGCUUGGGGUAACAGAGGAGACUCCAUCUAAAAAGAAAAAAAAAAUCCAGAGCUUCCUUUCCCGUUUCACCAUGUGAGGACAUGUGAGAAGAUGAUCAUCUCCAAAAGAGAUGCAAGUCCUCACCAGGCACCAAAUCUGUCUGAACCUUGAUCUGGGACUUCCCAGCCUCCAGAACUGUGAGAAAUAAACAUUUGUAGUUUAUCAGUCACCCAAUCUAUGAUAGUUCGUUGUAGCAGCCUGAACACACUAAGAUCACCACUUAAAAUGAUGUUUGUUAUUGGGGCUUUUCCUACUAAAAUUUCUUCUUUCCAGUGCUAUGUUGCUAAUUCCCCAUUAUUGUAAAAAAUCAUUUAAAAUUAUUAAAUUUUAUCCAUUUUGCAUCUACCAAGGACAUCAGAUGACUUUUAACUUUUUAUUUCUAAGUUGACUUUGCAUUUUUCUGCUUUUAUACAUGAUGCUGUGGUUUCCCAGAGAACAAUCAUAUUUAAGGGACUUUGAAGUAGGAGGCAUUCACUGUCACCACCCAUGGGCGUCCUACAGCUACAUUCAAUAUGUUCUUGGAAAUACAUGGGCUACAAUGUAAUGACUACUCAAAAUAUUGCUAACAUGACCUACUUAGACAUAAGGUAGGGAAGAAAGAAUAUUUAGCAUUUUCCAUAAAUAUAUAUGUCUCCAGAUGUACCUAUUCACAGGGAGUCAGAACAAAACAGCAUUAUGAAAUGUUCCAUGAGGUCUCCAGGGCCAUACAUCAACUGAACUCAGCCAGCAGCAUGUCUUCUUCAGAAGUGUAUCUUUAGUCUUUGAGACUGCCCAUGACCAAUAAAAGAAACGAGGAAAUUUUAUGAUGAAGUUUAUUUUUCCAAUAUUUUUCCAAUAUUGAAAUACCAGAGGUCCUUGCUUCCAGUAGGCACAAAUUUCAGUUACUGUGUUUUAAUUAAAUAACUCCAGUUCCCCAACAAUGUGGGUCAAUUUUUAGUUACCUUGAUAUAUUACCUGUAAUUGCAUGAAGCACAAAUUUCCCUGCUAGCUCUUCAGUUCAUAAAUCACUAAGUAAAUAACACAUGCACAUCAUGAUCUGUGACUGAUCAUGUCACUUCUUCGAAGGCAAUGACUGGUCAGUACGCAUCUGUACUCAGUUCAUACACAGACAGCAAAGCAUGAAGUUGUGUCGUCUCCUUGUCUCCCAGUGAUUAAACCAUGUGACAUUUUAUAAAAGUGAGUAAUACUGGUCGGGCGCAUGGCUUAUGCCUGUAAUCCCAGCACUUUGGGAGGCUGAGGUGGGCGGAUCACAAGGUCAAGAGAUUGAGACCAUCCUGGCCAACAUGGUGAAACCCCGUCUCUACUAAAAAUACAAAAAUUAGCUGGGCAUGGUGGUGGCACAUGCCUGUAGUCCCAGCUACUCAGGAGGCUGAGGCAGGAGAAUUGCUUGAACUCGGGAGGUGGAGGUUGCAGUGAGCGGAGAUUGAGCCACUGCACUCCAGCCUGGCAACAGAGUAAGACUCUGUCUCAAAAACAAAACAAAACAAAACAAAAAAACAAAAAACAAAAAAAUUUAAAAAAAGUUAGUAAUCCUAAGAUAGGAUUAGCAACAAAGAUAAAAGUGCAUUAAAGAAACAAAAAGUGGUAGUGCUGGAAGUGAAACUUGCAUUGAACCUAAAUGGAGUUAUUGAAGAAAUAGCUGAUCGUAGGAAUAUUGAUGCUGCUGUGGUUGGAGGCUCUACCAUGCAGCUGGAGGAACUUCAAGGAAGCGAGCUUAUCAAAAUAAGUAAGGAAAGUGGUUGUGACGAAAAGGAUGAAGAUGUCCCAGAGGAAAGGAUGCUGGCAAAAACUGCACAUUAAAGGGAUUCUCAGAGAUAACUGACAACAUUGAAAGAUUUACACUCAAGGUUUGGAAACUGAUUUAAAGUUAGAAUUAAGUAUAACGAUUCACGAAGGUGUGGAGAAGAUGCUUGCUUUGUCUCAUAAGUUCUACAAUGUUCGAACAACUCUUGAUAAGUUUUUAAUAAAGAAAAAAACUUCAAUUUUCAAUGUUUCUAAUUUUUAAAAUUGUAGUGUACUAAAGUAUUAGUUUUACUAUUUUUAUAUUUCCCUACUUAUAAGUGAGAAUAAGUGACUUUUUAAUGUUUUGACAACCAUUUUUAAAGGUCACAGAACAACUGCAAUUUUUACCACUGAUUAUUAAUAAUCAGAUGUUUUUGCACAGUUGUAGCCUGCACAGUCGUUUUUAUGGUCCCACACUACUCUGCAAAGUGAGGACAGUGAUAUAAUUUUCUCAUUGAAGAACACUUGGAAAAUAGAGCAAGAGAAAAAAAUUACAUAUAACCCCAUCCCAAAAGCACUUGUGAGUAUAAAAAUGUAUAUCUUUCCAAUAGUCAUUUUGAUUGGUAUAAUUUUACAUCUGUUGGUUUUACAUACUUGUGAUCAUGCUGCUUAAAGAAUUUUGUUCCCUUUUUAAAAACAGACUUUACUUUUUAGAGGAGUUUUAAGUUCACAGCAAAAUUGAGUGGUAAGUACAGAGAGCUCCCAUUAUACCUCAUAUCCCCACAUAAGCACAGACUCCCCUACCAGCAACAUCAUGCACCAGAGUGAUACAUUUGUUACAGUCAAUGAACCUACAUUGGCACAUCAUCACCCAAAGUCCAUAGUUUACUUUAGGGUUUACUCUUAGUGACGUACAUUCUAUGGGCUUCUAACAAAUGUAUCAUAACGUGUAUCCACCAUUAUCAUGUCACAUAGAAUCAUACUGCCCUAAUAAUCCUCUGUGUCUUUGAAUUUAUUAAUCUCUGUCUCACUGAGUAACCACUGGUAACCACUGAUCUUUUUACUAUCUUCAUAGUUUUGCUAUUUUCUUUUAUAUAUUUUUUGAUGUUAAUAUAUAGGUUUUAUUAAUUCAUCUGCGUAAUAAUCCAUUGAGUGGAUACAUAAUAGCUUAUUUAACUUUUUAAGUGAAUUAAACUGAGUUGUUACAGGUUUUCACUUGUUUACGGUUUUUCCUUUGCUAUUUUGCAUUCUUUUCAUAGGGUCAAUUUCAGAAGUACAGCCAUUAGGUCCAAAGUCUCAGCCAAUGUAUCGAAUAAAUCUAGCCUGCAGACAAAUUUGGCCUGGCCAGCAUAUUUGUUUAUAUAUACAUAUAUAUAUUAAUGGAGCCCAUAGUUAGCACAGUUUACAUACAAAUCUGAAUUUCCUAUUUUCCUUGAAAAAAAACCAGGAGAUCUGUUGACACCAGGUGUUUCCAUAUGUCAGCAAGAAGCUGGACCUGUGUAGCUACCACCCCUUUAGAGAGACAGCAAUCACAUCCUCUGUGAGCAGUAGAGUUUGAUUUUCACUAAAUGUGAUUAGCAAAUGGUUUUUAAAGACAAAAGAACCAUAGUUUAUUUGCUGUGUUAUAUUUUGAUUUAUAGUCCACAUUUUUUUUCAAAGGAAUUUAAGAUGUCUCAACAAACUGGUAUAUGGAUGUGUGGGAAAUACUUCCGUAAUAAUGAACUGUGCUGAGUUCGUGGAGCAUUAAAAAGUGCUUCGGUUCAAGCUAUUCUAUUCCACCUUUUCAAAAGGUGGGUUCUUCCCUGAACCAUUGCAUAGUGAGAAGUUUAGUAUCUACAAAAGGUGUGGUGUUUCGUGGUUUUGCAUCUUGUUUGAUCUUCACACUGGACAGUAGCAACUAUAAAUUUUAAAAAGUUUUCUUUCUAAAAUUACUCUGGAAGCUUACAUGCAGAUGACCAUUGCUCUGCUCCACCACCUUUGCUGGCCCCCUACAGCCUCUGCAAUGCUCUCUCCAUUCAUUAGCCAUUCAUUAGCUCCUCCCACCCUGACUUCACCCAUUUAAUUGUUCCCCUCUCUAAAGGUCCAUUUAAAAUGUGAUCUUCUCUCUCAUACUGCAGAAAUACUACUUUUUCCCUUAUAAAUGCCCAUCGCCUUAAUUUCUGCCUCCGGUAUGGCCGUUGCUACUUUUUCAUUUUAUAUUUUAGGUGGUUGGGUGGAUGACUUACCUCUUCUACAAGACCUUUGAGGUUUUCUUUUUUUUUUUUUUUUCAUGAAAGUUUAUGUCUACAAGACGCUGUUGAGAGCAACUUGAUUCCUCAUUCAUUUUUGUUUCCCACAAAGUUUAUGCCUGAAAUGUGUGUAUAAACAACAUUUGAAAGAAGAAAUGGAAAUCUCCCAUCACUACAUCUCAGUAUGAAGAGAUGGAGGGAAGUUAAGUCCUAAAUGACCAGAUUUGGAUGUUACAUGACAGGUGGCUUCUGCACAGUAAACUGAGGCAGAACUGUAAGUGAUGAGUAGGUAUUCAAGAAUGAAAGAGAUCAUGACCAAGGACAGCCACAUCCGACCAUUCGUUGUGUUUUGUUGAUAUGCCCUGACAAUAGAUGACAUAACCAAAGAAAGAAACUGCUGGGGGAUACAGGCCUAUACCUCUGGAUAUAUUUUUCUAUUGUGAUUUUAGCUUCAGAGCAACUUCCCUCUGACAUAACGAAGACUCUUGAGUAUUGAAGAUGAAUAUUUAUUGGGGAAAAAUGCAAUGGGAAAUAAAGAAAUCAGAAGAUUGGAGAUGCUUGACAAACUACUGGAAAUUUUAUUCCCAAGUAAUUUAUUUCUUAUUUGUAUCAAUUUGAUAAAUAUUAUGUAAGUUACGAUUAUGUUGAAUUGCAAAUAACAAGAGCAGGUGUUUAUUUUUUUUUACAUAAUAACAAGUCCAGAGGUGUGUUUAGAUGACUGUGCAAUGGCUAGGCCACUGGUUCUGAUGUUCUUGGCUUCUUCCUUAUGGUCACAAGAUGGCUGCUUCAGUACCAGUUCUUAUAUCUGCAUUUAAGAGAUUAAAAAAGAAAAAGAAGAAGAAAAAGAAAAAGAGGCACAGGUACUUCUGCAACUGCAUCUGUCCUCUUUUAUCAGGAAAGCAAAUGUGUUCCUAGGAAGCCACUGGUGGACUUGGUUUGUUUCAUGGCUAUGUUGUCUCGCAUGGCUAUGUAUCGCCAAAAGGGAACCUUUGAAAGGAAAUAUUUCAUUGAAUGUUUUUAUACUCUGAAAAUAAAGUCAUGUUUAUUAUAUAUGAGAUAAAAGAGAAUGGUUAUUAAACAGGUAAUAGACAGAAUUGGUCACUGCCAUUUAAUUCCAAUGUCAGGGGUCCCUAAAUUCAGCAUUCUGGGAUUACCUUUUCUUUUAAAGCUCAACUGUAAUAGUAUUCUCUGGGCCCUCAUUCAAUCUAAGGGUUCUUUUUCUCCCUCCAUGUUGAGAAUCUGAAAACUUCCUUCUUUUCCUUCCUUCCUUCCUCAUCUUCCUUCCUUCCUUCCUCCCUCCCUUCCUUCCAUCUUUCUUUCUUCCAUCUUUCCUUCCUCUCCUUCCUUCCUUCUUCCUUCCACCCUUCCUUCCUCUCCUUCCUUCCUUCUUCCUUCCACCCUUCCUUCCUCUCUUUCCUUCCUUCCUCUCCUUCCUUCCUUGUCUUCCUUCCUUCCUUCCAUCUUUCUUCCUUCCAUCCUUCCUUCCUCUCCUUCCUUCUUUCCUUCCUUCCUCCCUUCCUUCCUUCCUCAUCCUCCUCCAUCCUUCCCUCCUUCCCUCCCUCCCUUCCUUCUUUCCUUCCUUCCAUCUUCCUUCCUUCCUUGCCCUCCUUCUUUCCUUCCUUCCUCCCUUCCUUCCUUCCUUUCCCUCCUUCUUUCCUUCCUUCCUCCCUUCCUUCCUUCCUUCCUCGUCCUCCUUCUUUCCUUUCCUACCUCCCUCCUUCCUUCUUUCCUUCCUUCCUUCCUUCUUUCCUUCUUCCCUCCCUCCCUCCCUUUAUUCCUCUAUUUCUCUUCCCUUCUCUCUCUUUCCUUCUUUCUCUCUUCUUUUUCUUUCCCUCUUACUUUUUUCUUUGCUUCUCUUCUCUUUUCUUUCUUUUUUGAGACAGUGUCUCACUCUGUCUCCCAGGCUGCAGUGCAGUGGUGGGAUCGCUGCUCAUUGCAGCCUCAACCUCCCAGGCUCAAGGGCUCCACCUGACUCAGCUUCCUGGGUAGCUGGGACUACAGGUGCACAACACUACACCUGGCUAAUUUUUCUUUUUUUUUUUGUAGAGGUGGGGGUCCCCCUAUGUUGCCCAGGCUGCUCUUGAAUUCCUGGGCUCAAGCAGCCCUCCUGUCUCAGCCUCCCAAAAUGCUGAGAUUACAGAAAUGAGCCAUGGUGCCCAUCUCCUUCUUUCUUAUACAGACCCAUUAAACUAUCUUUGCAACAUCAGUCUCUGAACUCACCUUUGUCAUCCAAAUAAGCCAUCAAGGUUUCCUAAGUAAAGAGCUAUCCACAUGGAUAUGGAUUAGGCAACUACCCCUAGAAUAGAAAAAUGACUGCAGUCAGUUGCUUGAAAUACUCUUUUUCCUUUCUCCUCCCCACAAAUGAAAAUAAACACUUAUUAUUUUCAAGUUCUGAAAAAUAGUGUUUUAGGUCUGAAAUGUUCAGAAAUCUCAACAUCAGACACUCGGAAGAAAAUAUGGAGUCAGUGGGACAUGAGUCUGUUCUGUUUAAAUCUACAUUCAAGUAUGUUAAGGUCAGUUUUAUCAUGCAACCAUCAUUUCUGUAGUUUUAACUUACUGUCUCUGAAUAUGUUGUCUUUGUGAUGCAUGAAACAGUGUCAAAAUCAGGAACGCGACUUAAUGUAUUAUUCUCAACACUUAUGAUGAUAAAAUAUCAUUGGUCUGUUGUGAGUAAUGCUCAUAAAUGUCGUCCGCUUAACCAUAUUCAAACCACAUGCAAACUUUCUAACCAUAUGCAAAUUCCCAUUUGUGAUGGUCACCUUCACUCAUAGUUUAGAAAAUGUUGUGGUUGAUUAUCCCCCAGCUCUAGUGGUGGGCUGAGAUUCGGUUAAACCAACCAGCAUAUGUCAUUAUCCAUGGUAGUAAGCAGCUUUGGAAAUAGCUCCCAUGGGGUCCCCACCUCCUGGUAUUCAUGCUGUUGUGUAAUCCCUGCUUUUUGAGUGUGGAUGGACUUAUCACUUGCUAAUUGAUAUGGUUUUGCUGUGUCCCCACCCAAUUCUCAUCUUGAAUUCCCACAUAUUGUGGGAGGGACCUGGUGGGAGGUAAUUGAAUCAUGGGGCAAGUCUUUCCCAUGUUAUUCUCAUGAUAGUGAAUAAGUCUCAUGAGAUCUGAUGAUUUUUAAAAGAGAAAUUCCCCUGCCCAAGCUCUCUCUCUUUGCCUGCUGCCAUCCAUGGAAGACGUGGAUUGCUCUUCCUUGCCUUCUGCCUUGAUUUUGAGGCUUCCCCAGCCACAUGGAACUGUAAGUCCAAUUAAACCUCUUUCUUUUGUAAAUUGCUUGGUCUCAGGUAUGUCUUUAUCAGCAGCAUGAAAAUGGAAUAAUACACUAAUAAUGACUAAAAUAUGGCAGAAAUGAUGGGAUAUCCCUUCCAGGAUUAGGUUAUUAGAGACUGUGACUUUCAUCUCUCUUGUUUGCUUGCUCUCAUGAAGCCAGCUGCCUUGUUGUGAACUGCCCUACAGAGAGGCCACAUGGCAAAAAGCUGAGCAUGGUCUCUGCCGAACAGCCAUUGAGGACCUGAGGCUCUCAGUCCAACAGCCCACAGUGAAUUGAAUCCUGCCAGUAACCACUGAGUGGGUUUGGGAGAGGAUCCUGGUGAACCUUGAAAUGACUGGAGUCCUGGUUGACACCACAAUUGGAGCUUACAAAAGACUCUGAGCUGGAGGACCUAGUGAAGCCAUAUUUGGAUCUCUGGCCCAUAGAAACUGUGAGGUAAUAAGUGCAUGUUAUUUUAAGCUGCUAAGUUUGGCAGAAGAAGGAGGGGAGUGUAAUUUGUUACAUAGCAAUAGAUAACUGAUACACUCCUAGUUACAAAAGUUUGUCCAGGUAUGUGCAUGUGAGCAAUUGAGCCAAUGGUAAGUAGGCUGAUCCUCGACUUUUCAACUGGUAGAAGGAGAGGGGAGGGAAGGAAAAAAGAAAGCAAGAGAGGAGGUGGCGGGCGUGGAGAGAGAGAGAGAGAGAGAGACUAUUUUCUGCCAUCUAUGAAGCAAAGAAGUUGUUCUAUAGCUGUUGUCAUCUUGCGACUUUGUGGAGGUAACCUGUCUUAAAAGAAAGCUAACACAAAUCAGAAAGCAUAGCUGAGAGAGAGGGAGAUACCAGGUUCUAGGGCAUCAUUUAAAUACCUUCAUCACACUGUGUCUGAAGCCAGUGGAUGUGAAUCACUGGAUUCCCUUUUUUUCUUAAGCCAGUUUCCAUUUUUUUUUGUAACCCAGACUUUGACCUGAUACAAACUGUAAUUAGCUGAUGAUCAAAACUUCAGCUGUCCAAAGAAGGACUUGUCACCCUAAAACAGAUGUUCCAAAUUUUGUCUCAACUGACACAAUUUGGAGCAUCUGUUUACAGCUUUACAGGAAGGGGGAGAAGGUAUUUUUAAGUGUGUGAGCACAAGUUAAAAAAGUAAUUGGAAACUAAGUAAGUACAAAAACAUCUUCAAUCAAAGAAACAUUUUGUAAGCUGAAAUAUUGUUCAUUUUUAUGAUGGUAUGUGUAUAUCUUCAUAUAUAAAACUUCACUGUCAUUAGAAAAUGUCACACAAAAUAACAAAUACACCUUUUUCAAUCUGGUUAUAAAUAUGCAGAAUGGAGUUUAUUUACCAAAGUGUUACACAUUUCCAACUGAUAAUAUAUCAAUAAAAGCUCUCACUCCAAGAUGUCAUUAAAGCCACAUUUGUUCAUUUCUAUUUAUUAUGAGAAAAAAAAAACAAAAUGAAAAAAGUGGAUUUGAGUCAUAUUUCCUGUGAGUUCAUCAUUUGCUGGCAUAUAACACUUGUGAAUUUUAUUCAAUUCAUUUAAAAUGAUUUCUUACAUGCAGCCAGAAAGUUGAGGGUGGCAAGGAAUUCAAAAUGAUCAGCAGGCAUCCAAGAUUUCUCAGGAGACAGAUUUAGAAUCACAACUGAGGUAUGUUUUCCUUAAGGAAUGUAUCGUAGAAAAACUAGUUCUAAUGAACCAGAAUUUGUUCCUAAUAAAUUCGGCUCAUUUGUGUUUUGAAAUUAGUAGACUCAAAUGACCUUCUUAAAAUGAGGUUUCUUCCUUUCUUCCCUUCCCUUCCCUUCCCUUCCCUCCCCUCCCCUCCCCUCCCCUUCCCUCCCCUCCCCUUCCCUCCCCUCCCCUCCCCUCCCCUUCUCUUCCCUUUCCAAUAUAGACCAAGAUCUAUGGUACCCAUUUCAAAUGCCCUCAGAACUCAUUCUUUUUUCGUGUUUAUUUCAUAAAAGUGGGCAUUCUAUCUAUACCAACCUUUGCACCUAACAUGUAACCUGUUUUGGCCAGUGGGAUGUUAGCCAGCAUCACACAAGGAGAGGUCCUUUUGCUCCUCUGUCUCUGUCAAAAAAACAAAACAAAACAAAACCAGGCUAUCCUGAUGGAGAAUUACACAUCUGGCUCAGGUGUAGCAGCCAACAGCCAGUGAGGCAUAGAGUGAACCUAGCAUCACAAGAAGAACUACCUAGCCCAGCCCAGCCCAAAUCUCUGACCUGCAGAUCUGUGAUUUAAAUACAUGCUCGUUGUUUUUAGCCACUGUAUGUGUGUGCGUGGUGUUCAGGCAAGUGUUUUUCAACAUUAUCAUGGUAAUAGGUAACUGGUACACACCUAACACCUGAAUAACCGAUUAUAUGGUUGAAAUAUCUGGAAUGAUUCUGAUUUCCUAUACUGCGUCCUGACUGAUACAGAAGUUUAUAGACAUUUUCUCAUUUAAUUGUCACAACUACCUAACAUGGCAGGUAUUGUUGCUGUCCCAUUUUACAGAUCAGGAUGCUAACUAAAUCAUUCAAGUCCAUACAACUCCGAAAUGGCAGAGUGGAAAGCAAACCAGGAUGCUGAAUUUGAAAGCCCACAUUCUUAACCAUCAGACCACACUGACUGACUCAGUUUUCACACUGAGAGUGAAAAAUAUUAGCAAGUUUCCUCUGGAAAGAUCUAGAAGAUAGGUUUACAAGGUCUAAAUUGAAUGGGAGCUAUAAAGGAAGUACAGGUUUCAUGCAGAGAAUCUGAAGCUCUAUGUCCACUUGCAUAUUUUAGAGCUGAAUUCUUGGAGGGUUGUGCAGCCUCUUCAUCUAAUACAAUUGGAUUUGGCCCUAUCUUCAGAUUUAGUCAUUUCUUCCAUGACAGCAUAUUAAAUGACAAUCUCAAAUAAAGACCACUCAUCUGAACAAAGGGAACACGCCCCACUCAGGCCCUUCUUUGAUUUAUAACCAAUUCUCUUUUAACAUGUGGACCCAACAAACGAGAGAUAGCUUACUAGCUCGAACAAUGAACUUGUUAGUUAACAGAAUUAACAGUGUGUUGUUUCAUUGUGAUGACAGUAAUAAAACAGGAGACGUGAAGCAGAUAUAGUCACAACUAAAUCGUAAUGGAUGAGAUAUUUACAGCAAAGCUGUUAAAACAUUGAAUAAAAUAUGGGAAGAGCAAAAGCAGAUGUGUUUUUAUUCUUCUGAGUUGAAGCUUGCAAGGUAAAAAGAUAGUUUGAGUAAUAAUCGCAGGUUCUGAUUCACAAUGAAUUAAUAAAUAUUCAUAUGGUACCAGCCGCUGAAACUUUCCAGAUACAGAAAUAAAGUGAGAAAGCCUGUUCUUGCCUUACACUUUACUAAGUUUAGAUUUCCAGACACACAUGUCAAUAUCUCCAUUAGGUUCCUGUAAAAGUUCUCUUUUAUUUUCCACUGCGUUCCAAGUCUUGAUGGUGAAACAUUCAUCUUUCCUGUUUUGUUCCAAAUGUCACAGUAUUUCCCCCACUCAAACCACAAGAAAGUAGAAAGAAGUGAUGGUCUAUUAAUAAAGAAGAGACCUAUAAUUUAAGUAGAAGAUAGAGGUGGAAGGAAAUGAGCAUUUCUCUUUGAAUUAGGCACAGGCAAAUGAGCUAUAUAUCCCAUUGGAUGUCCACAUCCCCAAAUGAAUUAGAACGGUGGGAUGCCUGAUUUUGCAACAGCAAGCAAAACACAUUUAUGCGUUUUUCUUUUGUGAUUAUCAUUGUCUUUGUUUUAAAGGAGCCGGGAGUUUUUUGAGAGCACAAGGGAAUGCUACCACAUUACUCAGGGUUGAAACAACUUGGGAAGCAUAAUUUGGGGGGUGUGAAAGCAUCAGGAUGCUUGGUCCAGGUUUGUUUUCCUGCAUUUCAGAAAAACAGCUGCUGGAAAAAGAAGGGAGAGGCUUGGCGCAGAACUGGUUUGGAUUUUUUUGGGAGGGAGAAAGGAAGAAAGUGAGACAAGAGUGUCUUGCAGGGGCUCAGAUCUCCCUGGCUGGGGGCCACAGCCCUCCCCUCUUGAGUACCUGGUUUGGGUAUUGGAGGCUUCCUGAUGGAUGUCCAUGAGCUCUGCAGUCGGUAGCACAACAGGGCUCCUUGAGGUUGCUAUGACAUCCUUUGUUCCCCAUUUCCCUGCUUUUAUUGGCAUAUGUACCUUGGCUUGUAUGUAGAACCCGAGGGCUUUGUGUUGCAUUUUCAUUUUCCCCUCUGUUUUAUUAAUCACUGCGUCCUUUUCUCUCCCUGCACAUCCCCAAGUCUUCUCCCUAGACUUGCACAGGAAUCUUUCAUUUGGGUUCCAUUCUUUGUUUUCCCUCAGAUGAUCUCUGUUGGCUGUAAAUGAGUUUUUGUUGUUUCUCACCCUCUCUCCCCUCCUUGGCCUUCGUAUUAUUUUUUCCUUUUAAUUAAUUCCAUCCCCACAGACUUACAUUUGCGUUUUUUCAUUUUCCUAUUCUUCUCUGUCUUCUUUGAAAAUCUCAGGGUAAUGUUCUGGGCACUUGUCUGUGGCUCGGAGUUCUAGGAAGGGAGAGGCCGGGGAGGGGGGCUUCCAAGCAAGUAGGGCACAAGACCAGCAGGAAGAAGCAGCCCCAAGCCAGGACUCACCAAGGAAGCCUCUUACCAAGUGCCUUCUGGUCAAAAGAAGGUUAUUUCCAGGGCCAGGCGUGGGGGCUCACGCCUGUAAUCCCCACACUUUGGAAGGCCGAGGCGGGUGGAUCACGAGGUCAGGAGAUUGAGACCAUUGUGGCUAACACGGUGAAACCCCAUCUCUACUAAAAAUACAAAAAAAUUAGCCGGGUGUGGUGGCAGGAGCCUGUAGUCCUAGCUACUUGGGAGGCUGAGGCAGGAGAAUGGCGUGAACCCAGGAGGCGGAGCUUGCAGUGAGCUGAGAUCACGCCACUGCACUCCAGCCUGGGCGACAGAGUGAGACUCCGUCUCAAGAAAAAAAAAAAAAAGAGGGUUAUUUCCAUAAGAACCUUCCUUGCACAGAAAUCUGAGAGCAAGCAGGCCUCUCAAGGGUCAAGAGUCUUACCACUUCCAUUUUGGGGGAUUCCCGAUGUGUUAGACAAUGAAGACGGACUAAAAAAAAAGAUUUUUAAAAAUUGUGGUGUAUUUAACAAAUUAACACUCCUUACACAAAUCUAAGGCUAUUUCAUUGUGGCAUGUGCAAGCAAAUUAGCAGAUUUAGAAACAACGCUUAAUCUGAAUGCACUGCUGAUAGUCUUGCAAACAAGUUUCACUAACAAAGUCCAACCACACCAGGUAUUUUAGAAAGCAUGUGAUGUUCAAAAGCUAGUAUUAUUUGGUUUAUCGGCUCAACCACGAAGGAGUUAGUUUCCUAUUAUGCUCUGAUUCUCUUGUCGCCCUGUGCACAAUUGACCAGGCAUUUUUUUUCCUGAGUGGGGGGAUUGGGGGCGGUCUGAGUUUUAGAUGGUUCACGUUUUUUCCUAGUAACUUUAGCAGAGGAAUUAAUUAUUACUGUGCAAUCGCCUUUUUUGGAAGGAUAUUUGGAAUGUGCUUCUUGUCUCUUUUCCCUUCAGACUUUUUUUCUUCUUCUUCUUUGAAUUGGACAGCCUAAAUGUUAGCUUUACUGGAGCUGAACAUACUGUAACACUUAACCAAGGUGAAAAAUGACUGCUUGCCAAUGACUUUUACAUCUAUAUUAAGACUAUGCUGGUUAUAUAGCACAGUUAGAUAUAACAUGUUCAAAUACAGAGAGUGUGAUAGAUCCAGGCAUCGAUGAUAUGCUUUCUUUAAAAACAAAAGGAUUGCAAGAAGUGAGCCAGGUAUGGCUACUUAGGAAUUUGUGCAAAUAAGAAAAACACAGUUAUUAACUUUUUUAGGCAUUGGUCUGUAUCUAACUUUACUCUUUUUUGGAUUUAUUUAUUCAUUGGCUAAUAAAGAUUUUCAGCCAUAGAUGGGAGUUUGUUUUUUUCCUAGGUAAUUGGUAAAUGAAUAGAACCAGACUUUAAUCAGUAAACAAGGUAUCUGAUAAAUUGAUUAAAUAAAUGAUUCAAUAUUGUUGGAAGAAUGAGACUACAACUAUCCCAGUUUAAAUCUUCAGUGCUCUUAGAACCUCAUUCUUAAGAUGAGGCUCUUUCUUUAUGAAUGGAAUUGAUUUACAGAAAACGAAGCAUUUGGCUGAGUUUGUGACUUACUUGAGAUUGCACAGCAAGUCUGAAUUAAAUCUGUGUAACAGGUUCUAAUCCCAUGGUCCAGCAAUUAGACCAUUCUCUCUAAGCUUCUUGGAAAAUUAAUUUCUCAUUACAAAUAAAUAUAUUCUGCACCAUGGUCUGAACAUACCAAUGCUAAGCACAUUUUCUGACAGACAUUUCAAAGAUAUAGAUGAGCUCUUGCAUCUUUUCAAAAGCAAUGCAAGGGACAUUCACACAGCAGGUGCUGGAAGGGUCCCUCUGGCAGACAGAGGAGAUGCAGAAGUUCUGCUCAAUCAGGUUUUCCUGACCAAGCCUGUCUGUGUAGCUGCGGUAAACAUGCACAGGUCUAGCGUUCAAAAAUGGGCCCCUGGCUCUCACAAUGAACCUGACAACCUGACCAAUCAAAUUCAAGUCUACCACGUUGCCAGGGUAACUAAUACACAGUCACAAAAACAGAACGAUCACAGUGAGGGAAAAAUACAAAAUGCAGCAUUUUCAUGCUUAGAGAAAGAAAGAGAAAACACAGGCUGACCGUACAUAGCAGGAACUGAUACUUGCUUCUUCCUUAACUAUGAGCCAUUCAUUUACAGCCAUGUGCAAAUGCCUAUGUGCAGAUGUAUGCACCUAUCCUCUUUCACAGAAAAUAUGUGCCUCACUUCUGGAACAUUAUUAGUGAAUUUAGAAUGGGAGAAAGAUGGCAGAUUAUGGUUUGAGGUGGAAAGAUCUGGAGGCACACACACAAAAAAUGAGCAUCCACCCUUCUUCCUUGAGCAACUCCCGGGUUGAAAGGUGCUUCCAGACUCAACUCAGUCAAUGGUCCUUUCUUCCAGUAUUUAAAGGAUGCUACUGCCAGGGUAAUAAAAGCCACCCCAUGCCCUUAGCAAUGACUAUCUCCAGGCUAAACUGUCCCUCUGUUUUGCUAUGUGCCCCCAUAGUAUAGGUGCCGAAGUGAUUCUGAAAAACGUAGAUCAUGUCCUGCCCCCGCUGACAGCUCCUCCCCUGACUUCCCUUGCAGGCUGAGCAGCAGGUGGUGUUUACACCAUGGCCCACCAGGUCCUGCUGAGUCUGCCUCUUCCUAACUCUCUGCCCUUAUUUCUUGACUCUCUCCCCCACAGUCCACUGUCAACAAUCUUCCUUUCUGUCCCUUGAACAUGCCAAGCUUAUUUCCACUUGCAUUAGUUUCCUGGAGUUGCCAUAACAAAGACCCACAAACCAGGUGGUGAAAAACAACAGAAAUGUAUUCUCUCAUAGUUCUGGAGGCUUGGAGUCUGAAGUCAAGGUGUCUGCAUGGCCGUAUCCCCUCUGAAGGCUCUAGGGGAGUCUAUUCCAUUUCCUUCUCUGAGUUCCUGACGUUGGCAAUUCCUGGCAUUCCUUGGCUUGUGGGUGCUUUGUCCCCAUCUCUGCCUCCCUGUGUGUUUCUACAUCCCUUCUCCUCUUCUUAUGAAGACAUCAGUCACUGGAUUAGGGCCCACCUAAAUUGAGUAGAACUCGACUAUAUUUGCCAAGGCUCUAUUUCCAAAUAGGGCCAUAUUUGCAGGUACUAGCAGUUAUCACUUCAACAUAUCUUUUCGGGGACACAAUUCAAUCCAUAAUGCCACCUCAGGACUUCCACCUUGAAUUCUCUUCUACUAGCCCUUUUCAUGGCUGGCUCCUUUUAUCUUUUGGGAGUGAGCUCAAAAGCCAUCUUGUCCGGAAGCUUCCCAGAUCACACAUUUUUGACUUCCCACCCCUCAACUUCUUGUCAUCAAUGCCCUUUGUUUCUUUCUUAGACCUUAUCCCACUGGAUAUACAACUCCCCUCCCUCUCUCAAGGAGAAUAUGAACUCCCAGGAGUAACUUCUUUGCAUGUCUUAUUCACAGCUCCGUUCCCAGAGUGUAGAUGAGUGCCUGCAACAAAAUAGGUUCUUGAUAACUAUGCAUUGAAUAUAAAAUCUGAAUCAGAAAAUUUGGGAAGUAGGAGAAGUUGUAGAAGAGAAGGCUGAGUUGAGGUGGUACUGAAUUUAUGACAAGCAUUCAGCAUUUUCUGUGACAAAUAUCUGUUGGACAUCAAUUAUGUGCCAGACACUGUUCUAAGUUACAGCUCAGCUAAGACAGACACAAAGCCUUGAGCUGCAUCUGAGUGAGAGCCCGAGCACCUGCCAUAUGUUGAGUGCUUGCUAUCUGCCGGCACAGUGCAGAACACCUGUGAUGUUAAUCCUACAGAAAAUUGUAGAAGGCAGGUGCUAUCAUUAACUUUACUUCUUCCCAGGUGAGGAAACAAUUUCAGAGCAAGUUCACCUCACUGGUAAGCAGGAGAGCAAACUCCUCCUAAACAUGGGGUUCCGUUCCCCACCCUCUUAGCUGCUCCCCUAUGCAACUCUUGAAGAAAACACUAAUGCUGGCCAGAAGUCCAUGUAGUUGGCAAUCAGCUGCAUUUUCCUGAUGAGAAAAUGAAACGCAGGAAAGUUAAAUCACUUCCACACAUCACAAGCUAAGGGGUGGCAGGUAGGAUAGGAGGGAGACGGCCCUGGUUUGUUGUCAGAGCCCAUGUUCAUAAGCCCUACCUUUAUGUCCUCAAGUCUAUAGGUUUGUGGGCAGGUAUAGCAGGGGUAUCCUUUUUUUUGUUUGUUUGUUUGUUUUAACAGAGCUCAGAACCCAAGCUUCUCAAACUCUAAAGAGUGUAGGAUUCAUCAGGGGAUUCCAAACCUAGACUUUGAAUCAGCAGGCCAGCUGUUCCCAUUACCCUCGUGUGACCUUCUGGGGCUCCCUGAUUUCUCACUCAUAGCCAUACUCACCACAUGGCAGGCUUUGUGCUACAGAAGGGUCCCUGGGAGUCUGCAGGACACCAUGGCCCAAACCACUUCUUCUUGUUAUUCCCUGAAACAGACAUAUGUUUCUUUGCUUACCCCAAGUCCAGACCUUCUGAUAGUAACAUCUCGAAUUUCCUUUUGAGGAACCAUGCCUCCCUCAUCCCAGUCCAAAGAGUUUGAAUAGAUUUGACUCUUCCUCCUUGGUUCCAGAUGUGACAAUGUACUUCAAUGGACUUUAUGGGGAACAAGAAGACAUCUUCUCACUAGGGCUACAAAGUGCAUAGAAUGCAUGUUGGAUGCUCUGUUACUGUGAAGGGAGAGUCACCCAGAUAAUAAAGCCAGCAUUGAGGUAAGCAGAGAUGAAAAUUAGAGAAAGAAUUCUGAUGAAAUCUUGAAAUGGCUGGAUCUGGUCCUGGGAGGUAGGCUUAUUGCAAACAAUUCCAUGAUAAGUAAGACAAUAAAGUCCCUUUUUUUGCUAAAAUCAGAUUAAAUUAGAUGUUGACAUCUGCUGCCAAAAGAAUCCCAAAUAAAACAUUUCCUUUAGGAUAAAUUCCCCUGUACUCCAGAACAAUCUCCCUCAGAAACUGGAGUGGCUCAUGAUGGUAUUUCAAACUAAAGUGCCAAUGACUAGGAAUGCUUGCUGACUCAACCACUGGAAUGUUCUGGAGAUGAAAUUGAUAUUUGAAAGCAACUGGAGGGUGACUGACAGUUGGUAGGUACUUAAAAAAUAUCCUGAGUCUAUCUAAAUGGUGUAUUUUCUUUUUUUAUGUGCUAGAAUAUAUGUACUUGGCAAAUCUCAAAUAUGUUUGUAAUUUGGGGAAUAUAAUAGGAGAUAUUUUAUGUGAGAAAAGUUCUCAUCAUUGCUUUUUGCCUGUUUGGUUUAUUUUACAUGACUGUGAAAUGCAAAAUUCCAAGAUUUUGACUUUUUGAAUGAUUUUCCUCUCUCUCCCAUCUCCUUUUCUCCCACACUUACACCAUCCAUCCCCAGUGGUCAAAGGUACGAGGAUCCACCAUUUGGAACUUCAUCUUUUAAAGACCAGAAACUCCUCUUCAGGAGAAGGAAGGGUGUGAUUUAUUGUGGCUUUAUCUAAGAUAACACAGUGAAAGUUCAAGUUCUCUAGUUUCUUUAUUAAAAAAAAAUAUAUAUAAAUACCAGUGAUUUAUAGCAAGGGUAGCAAUUUAGUGCAUAAGAAAUUUUUUUUGCUCUAUUCCUCUCCAUCUUCACCUUUCUUAAAGUAACUAAUUUUAACAGCUUAGUGCAUAUCCUUCUAGUCAUUUUUCUAUGGUGUUAUAACCAGACACAAAUGCAUGCAUGUAUAUGCAUGUAUAUAUGUAUGCCUAUAUACAUAAACACACAUACACACAUCAUUUUUUUUUAACAUAUUCUUGUACACUAUUGCUUUUGUAUAUAUUUCCAAAGGUAGGAUUGCUGGGUCAAAGGGUAUGUAUACUUCUAUUUAAAUGAACACAGAUGAUUACUUUCCAGAAAGUUUACAGAACUUCAUAUUCUCACCAAUGUAUUUCUCCAAAUCACUGCUAUCCCAGAAUUUUUUUGCACUUGGUACUGUGGUAGUUUCAUGAUUUUUAUUCUUUUUUCUCUUUAUAAGAGUUAGCAUCUUCCCCAUUCGAGUCCUUAGGACCAUCACAUCUGUUCUAUGGCCCCAUUGUGCAUGCCUUUCCUGUCUUUCAUGUGUUCUUUCGGAGGUUGCCCCUCGUAAUAAUGAGGAUGAAGAUGCAGCUGAUGUUUAUUGAGUGUUGACUACCUGUGCUGAGUCUGCUACGCACUUACAGUGCUGAAUAGGUUUUUUUACUGAAAGUUUUUCCUUUGAUAUUCACGAUAACCCUACGAGCUAUCUAGUUUUAUAAGUCGGCUUUUACAGAUUAGGAAACUGAGGCUCAGAAAAAAGUUAGAGGAUAGGUGUGGUGGCUCACACCUCUAAUCCCAGCACUUUGGGGGGCUGAGGUGGGAAGAUCACUUAAGCCCAGGAAUUCGGGGCCACCCUGGGAAACCUAGUGAGACCCCUGUCUCUAAUAAUAAUAAUAAUAAUAAUAAUAAUAAUAAUAACAACAAUAAGAUAAAAUAAAUUAGCUGAGUGCAAUGGCGCACACCUGUAGUCUCAGCUACUUGUGAGGCUGAGGUGGGAGAAUCACUGGAGCUUGGGAAGUUGAGCCUGCAAUGAGCUGUGAUCACACCACUGUACUCCAUCUUGUCUCAAGAAAAAGGGUGGAGGGGAAGGUUAGAGUAAUUUGCCUAAAUGUGCAGAGGGAGUGAGAAGCAGAACAGGGAUGAAUCCGAGAGGUCUGUCAACUGCAGCAUAGACGGCACACAAGCACUGUGCACAUUGCCUGCUGGAUACCCAAGAUGGGAUUCAUUAAAGUGAGGCCAGGUCUCUAUGACAAAAGUCCAAGAACCUCCUGAAAUGUUGUGCAGGAUGCUGGGAGAGGUUUGAUUUAUUUUCUUCAUUUACUAAGCUAGCAAUUUAAUCUUACAUUUCAGUUUGAAAUAUUUUAAACAUGCGUUCCCAAUAUUUGUUUACUUAUUUAUAAAUUAUAUACUUGCACUGAAGUAUUGAUAUCUUAUGUCCACUAGAAAGCAUACAUAAGCAGUUAUAAUUUUAAAUGGUGACUCAGUUUGAGCCAUUGUAACAAAAAUACCAUAGACUGGAUGGUUUAAACGACAAACAUUUAUUUUUCAUGGUUCUGGAGGCUGGCAGUCGGAAAUCAGGGUGCCAGCAUUGUUAGGUUCUGAUGAGGGUCCUUUUCCAGGCUGCAGGUUACUGACUUUCUAUUGUAUCCUGACAUGACAAAAGGGGCCUUUAGUGGGUAAUUGGGUCAUGAGAGUGGAAUCCUCAUGAAUAGGAUCUGUCCAUCAAAGCAGUUACAAGCCUGCCUUGCCCUAAGGGCUGGGGAAUUAGACUAAACUUUUUUUUUUUUGAGACAGAAUUUUGCUCUUGUUGCCCAGGCUGGAGUGCAGUGGCAUGAUCUCGGCUCACUGCAACCUCCGCCUCCCAGGUUCAAGUGUUUCUCCUACCUCAGCCUCCCAAAUAGCUGGGAUUACAGAUGCCUGCCACUACGCCUGGCUACUUUUUGUAUUUUUAGUAGAGACAGAGUUUCAUCAUGUUGGUCAGGCUGGUCUUGAAUUCCUGACCUCAGGUGAUCUGCCCACCUCAGCCUCCCAAAGUGCUGGGAUUGCAGGCGUGAGCCACCAUGCCUGGCCAGACUACAAUUCUUGAUGAGGGAAUAGGAUUCAUGAGGAUUCCACUCUCAUGACCCAAUUACCCACUAAAGGCCCCACCUCCUAAUAUUAGUUUGGUGCAAAAGUAAUUGUGGUUUUGCCAUUAAAACGAAUUGGCUGUAGCUGAGGCUGCAGUCAUCUGAAGGAUGUCCUAGUUGUGCCAUUGGCAUUACCAUUAAAAGUAAUGGCAAAAGCCGCAAUUACUUUUGCACCAACCUAUUAUUACUUUGCAGAUUAGAAUUUCAAUAUGUGGAUUUUGGGUGGACACAAACAUUAGGUCUAUUACAAAUUGAUAAGAUAAAACUGAAAUUACUUGUAAUCUAAUUAUUCUAUUUGUGAAUAGUACCAAAAUAUCAUUGCUCUCACUAAAUAAAAUUACUAUUAGAAAUGAACCUCAUGCUUAUUAGUUUUACAUGUUUCAUGACUUGCAAUGGCUUCAUAGUAUUAUUAAAAAAUAUCUUAAGCCAUGGCUGGGCGCUGUGGCUCACACCUGUAAUCCCAGCACUUUGGGAGGCUGAGGCAGGCGGAUCACCUGAGGUCGGGAGUUUGAGAACAGCCUGGUCAACAUGGUGAAACCCUGUCUCUACUGAAAAUACAAAAAAUUAGCCAGGGUUGGUAGUGGCUGCCUGUAAUCCCAGCUGCUUGGAAGCUGAGGCAUGAGAAUUGCUUGAACCUGGGAGGAGGAGGUUGCAGUGAGCCAAGAUCGAGCCAUUGCACUCCAGCCUGGGAGACAGAGCAAAACUCCAUCUCAAAAAAAUAAAAAGUAGGCCAGGCGUGAUGGCUCACACCUGUAAUCCCAGCACUUUGGGAGGCUGAGGUGGGUGGAUCACGAGGUCAAGAGAUCAAGACCAUCCUAGCAACGUGGUGAAACCCCGUCUGUACUAAAAAUACAAAAAUUAUCUGGGCAUGGUGGCAUGCGCCUGUAAUCCCAGCUACUCGGAUGCUGAGGCAGGAGAAUCACUUGAACCUGGGAGGUGGAGGUUACAGUGACCUGAGAUCGCGCCACUGCACUCCAGCCUGACAACAGAGUGAGACUCUGUCUCAAAAUAAUAAUAAUAAUAAAAUAAAAUAAAUAAAAAAUAAAAAAUAUUGAGCCAUAACAUGUAUUUGGGAGGAGGUUUAUUGUUUAAUUAUCUAGUAACAUGUAACAAAUGAUCCCCAAAUUUAGUGAUUUAAACUCACAAGUUUGUUUUGCUCAUGAUUUCUGGGUCAGGAAUUAGGAAAGGGCUCAGCUGACUGGUUCUCACCUGGAGGUCCUCGUGUAGUACAGUCUGAUAUUGGGUGAAGCUGAGGCUGUAGUCAUUUGAAGGAUGUCCAAGUUGUGCCAUUGCCAUGGCUGGCAGCUUUGGGACCUUAACUGGGGCUGUUGGUCAGAGCAUUCAUGUGACCCUUUCACCACGAUGGUCUCAGUGUAGCUGGACUUCUUGAAUAGCAGCUCUUGCUCCCUCCAGAAUAAGCAUCUCAGGAGAAACCAGAGAGGGAAGCUGUAUGGCUUUUCCUGACAGCCUUGGAAGUCACGUAGCAUUCCCUCUGUCAUAAUGUAUCCAUCAAAGCUGUCAUAAGCCUGCCUUGGCUCAAGGGCUGGGAAUUAGACUAUACUUUUUUUUUUUUUUUUUUUUAAGACGGAGUCUCACUCUGUCGCCAGGCUGGAGUGCAGUGGUGCGAUCUCGGCUCACUGCAACCUCUGACUCCCAGGUUCAAGAAAUUCUCCUGCCUCAGCCUCUCAAGUACCUGGGACUACAGGCACCUGCCACCACGCCCAGCUAAUUUUUGUAUUUUUAAUACAGACGGAGUUUCACCAUGUUGGCCAGGAUGGUCUCGAUCUCCGGACCUCAUGAUCUGCCCACCUCAGCCUCCCAAAGUGCUGGGAUUACAGGCAUGAGCCACCGCACCAGGCCUAGACUAUACUUCUUGAUGAGGGAAUAGCAAGAUCACAUUGUAAGCCAGCCUAUGGAAUGGGAGAGAUGACUGAGGCUAUCUCUGAAAAAUGUAAACCUCAUCAUUACCGAUUAAGUUAUUUAUUAAUAGAUAUUUAUGGAAUGCCUGCUAUGUGCCAAGCUAAGAAUAUGAGUAAAAAGCAUGAAAAAACACAAGAUCCCUGCUGUUCUGGAGCCUAUAUUCUAGUACAGAAAAUAUCAGAUCAUGGUUUUAAAUGUAAAUCUAUAUGUUACAUAAUCUGCUGGAUAACUUCCUUUUUUGUUUGUUUGUUUUGACAACUCCGAGUUGCUCAUCAUCAUUUUUUUUUUACAUCACAAUAUAACUGAUAAAAAGCUCCUGUUAAUGGUGGAAGAAGUUAGAGCCAUUUUCUCCUUGCAUGCAGAUGCUUGCAUUGUUAAAAUUUCCUUCAAUUCACAUUACUUUGUAGGAAUCUUUAAGCCACUAGUCCUUUUUGUGAGGGCUGCUAUAGUUAAGAGGUGAUAAUGCUGUCUAUGAAUCCACAUUACUAGGCAUGUGUAAAUUGCAAGAAACCUCAAUAGGCUGUAGGCUAGAGGCAGUAAGAACACCAUUGUCAUCUGCAGAGACAAUUUGACUUCCUCUCUUCGUAUUUGAAUACCCUUUAUUUCUUUCUCUUGCCUGAUUGCUCUGGCCAGAACUUCCAAUACUAUGUUGAAUUGGAGUGGUGAGAGAGGGCAUCCUUGUCUUGUACUGGUUUUCACAGGGAAUGCUUCCAGCUUUUGCCCAUUCAGUAUGAUAUUGGCUAUGGGUUUGUCAUAAAUAACUCUCAUUAUUUUGAGAUAUGUUCUAUCAAUACCUAGUUUAUUGAGCAUUUUUAGCAUGAAGGGGUGUUGAAUUUUAUUGAAGGCCUUUUCUGCAUCUAUUGAGAUGAUCAUGUGGUUUCUGUCAUUGGUUCUGUUUGGAUUACAUUUAUUGAUUUGCAUUCUACUAUAAAGACACAUGCAUAUAUAUGUUUAUUGCAGCACUAUUCACAACAGCAAAGACUUGGAACCAAACCAAAUGUCCAUCAAUGAUAGACUGGAUAAAGAAAAUGUGGCACAUAUACACCAUGGAAUACUAUGCAGCCAUAAAAAAGGAUGAGUUCAUGUCCUUUGCAAGGACAUGGAUGAAGCCAGAAACCAUCAUUCUCAGCAAACUAACACAUGAACAGAAAACCAAACACUGCACAUUCUCACUCAUAAGUGGGAGCUGAACAAUGAGAACACAUGGACACAGGAGGGGAACAUCACACACCAGGGCCUGUUGCGGGGGCGGUGGGGGGCUUGGGGAGUAUAGCAUUAGGAGAAAUACGUAAUGUAGAUGAUGAGUUGAUGGGUGCAGCAAACCACCAUGGCACAUGUAUACCUAUGUAACAACCUGCGUGUUCUGCACAUGUAUCCCAGAACUUAAAGUAUAAUUUAAAAAAAAAAGAAUGCCAUUGCCUCCCCCAUCCCCAAUUCCUCUGAGUUGUAGAAUUCCCACCUUCUCUCAGAAUUUCUGCAAUACCAUAUGUAACCGACGCAGAGGGAGUGAGGCAAGUGUCAAGCUGCUUAUUAAAAUAUAACACAGUUUAAUUUCUUUCUUAUUUUUAGUUUGAAGUAAGUAUAAAUAGAAGGUCUAAUAUCUUUUUUAGCUUAUUUUCCACUUUGGAGGACACUGCUCUAGAAAAAAAUCAGAAAACACUCCUCACCAGUUAAAGAGGAUGAUGCUUCUGGAAAGGACACAGUCCCCAAUAAUGAAACAACCCCCACAAGUUGUCUCCGUGAGUGCCUUCUCUUGAGUGAUGAUGCAAAAGGAGCUGAAAUGAGUUGCAACUUGCAGGAAGUAGCCUGACAUACAACAUUGUUUAAAUUAAAGUGAAUGCAAAAGAGAAGCUUGUUACAGCUUAAAUAGAUAGAGAAGGAGAACUUUUUCUGUUUCCAGUUGCUUGUCUGCUUUGGUUGGAGACCAUAUGCUUUGAAGAAUCUUACAAAUAUUCCUGUCCAUAUACGUAUUAGAGUAUCUCAGGCUUUUCUCUCUGGAAGCCUUUGUGCCAUUGUCUGAAGGAUCUAUAAAAGCAAUAAGCCAUCUUGUAAAUGGAGCUGGAAUAUGGGAUGCUCUUGUUCCUUUCUUGCCAGCGGCCACUGGCAUUUAUUCCGGAGUUGAUGCAUCAGUGACCAGGGUUAUUGCUCCCAGAAUCCAUGUUAAACCACACAAGCAAUGGAAAUUUUCUCAGCUGUGCUGUGAACUCAGUCUAGGCUUAUUUCACUCAAGUAUGAAUAGCAAUAAAGAUAUUAACAGCAAUGCUAAUAUUAAUUCUAAUAGCUAAGAGUACCCAGCGCCUACUUGCCAGGUGCUGUGCUAGGAAGCCACGUGGAUUUAAUUGUUACUCCUCACAGCAACCUUAUGAGAAAUAUACUGUCACUUAUUGGACAUCAGAGCAGGAAGCUUCUCCAAGGUUUGGAGGAAUUAAACAAUUUGAACAAUAGAGUCUGAGCCCAAGGAGGAUUCCCAUAGUCUGACUCCAGGUUUGCAAGGUUAAUUAAUGACUUUCUGUCUCUCUAAUAUAUAUCUCUAUAUGUUAUAUAGAUAUAUAUAAUAGAUAUUUACAUUAUAUAUAAUAUAUAUAAAACUUAUAUAUAAGUUAUGACAAAUAAAUUUUAACCACUAUGGAAAACUUGCAACUCAAGUUUCUAUACAUAUGAUAUGGUUUGGCUGUGUCCCCACCCAAAUCUCAUCUUGAAUUGUAGCUCCCAUAAUCCCCGUGUGUAGUGGGAGGGACCCAGUGGGGAGUAAUUGAAUCAUGGGGGUGGGUUUUUCCCAUGCUGUUCUAGUGAUAUUGAAUAAGCCUCAUGAGAUCUCAUGGUUUUAUAAAGGGCAGUUCCUCUGCACAGGCUGUCUUGCCUGCCACCAUGUAAGAUGUGACUUUGUGCCUCCUUCGCCUUUUGCCAUGAUUGCGAGGCCUCCCCAACCACGUGAGACGGAGUCCAUUAAACCUCUUUUUCUUUAUAAAUUACCCAGUCUUGGGUAUGUCCUUAUAGCAGCAUGGGAAUGGACUAAUACAAUAUAUAAGUAUAU